ACGUCAAAGCGCAUGGAACUGUGGAAGUGGGGCUUGUCCUCUCAAUUCGUAUUAAUAUUAAGAGCCUCCACUAGCGUGACGACCAUCCUUUACCAUAUUCGUAUUAAUAGAUGGUUGAAGGCCAUCCUCGCUAUUGUGGCCACCGAACUCACUUGUGGCUUGUUCUUGGGUUUCCAGGGCCAUCAUCCCGAAUUUCUUUUGAAUCCUCCUGGUCUUCGCUGGUGUCAUGAUCUGAGCUUUGACAACGACUAGAUACUCUGGUAGGUCCUAGCAUAAUUCCCUCUUUUAAAUCAUCCAGAGAAUGGUUUCCUUCCAAUGCUCGAACUACCUGUUUACACAAAGCUCAUAUAUUAUUCCACACUUGUAGAACAAUUUGCAUUAAUUGGUCAUGUCAAAAAGUGAGUUGUAGCAAACUAAGACACUGAAAAUGGUGUUUUUCUUUUCCUUUUUCUGGCUCAAAUGAAGUGAUAACCCAUGAUUUUUCAUUUGUAGGAUAAGCAAAACCAUUGGGUAGAGCAUAAAAAUGUGUCUAAAACAAGGGGAAAAAAGAGAGGAAGAAGAAGCACCCAUUCUGGUAUUAAAACAAUGUACUUUCAACUAGGCAAUGUACCUGUGUCAUUCGUGGACGUUGUCCUGUAGAAUGACGAACACAAGCAGCAGAACAAGCAAUCAUCUGAGUCAUUUCCUCGGUAACGUAGUCCUUGUUUAGUUUUGGAUCAACUAUGACAUCAAAAUUGCCAUCUUCUAAAGCUUGUGUGAGUAAAGGCCUUGCCUAAAAUUUUAUUAGAAGAGUCAAUUCUAUAACAACAUUCACAGUGGAGAGAGGAAAACAUGGAGGGAAAUGAUAAAUAAUGAUAGGCCACAAGUAAAUAUGUUGCUGACAAACCCAAUUAACCAAGCUAUGCUCAUCACUGGGUAGAGUUACGUCAACCGGACGACGCCCUCCGAUCAACUCUAGAAGCACAACACCAAAAGAAAAAACAUCUGCUUUCUCAGUGAGAUUUCCAGUGUAGAAAUACUCUGGAGCCAUGUAGCUGUGCAUUAGGUAGACUUACAUUAGCAAAAGAUAACAAAACUAAUAUAUGCUUAGACAGGAAAUGACUAAACUCAACUAUCAUUGGUGUAGAGAAUAUUUCUCGAGUUUAAACCUGUAAAGAAAACCUCGUCGAAGUAGAUUUUUUAGUUUGAGUAAAUUUCCCAGUCUAAGUGAGUUUACUAAUUUUAGUUGGCCAAAGGAGAUUUCCUGCUUUGGAUAUAUAUGUGUCUAAAGGAGGCAGAUUUUGGUUUUCGCACACUAGAGUGGAUAGAGGAGCUUUUGGCCACAACAAUCAAUUGGGUGGCAUGCUUGUCAAUCACAUUUUGAGUAAAUUGUGAGUAUAGUGAACCAAUAAAUCUUAUUCAUCCGAGUUGUAAAUUUUUUGAUUGAGAUAUUGUUUCUCGAGAAAUUGUGACGAUUAAACAAUGUAUGAACUAUUGAGUAUAAUUGGGGGUUAGGGAACAUUGGGACUGUUUGAGUUAUUCAACUAUAGUUGUAAUCUCAAUUAUGUUACUUGAUCUAUAGUUGAAUGUUAUGCAACCCUUCUUUUGGAGUAGGUCCCACCGAUCAAAUCCACGUAAAUUUGGUAUCUAAUUUAUUUCACUGUUAUCAUUAUUAUUGUGUAUGAGUGUAUGUUUUUUGCAACGACUAAUAUUAUAGCUAGGUUUAAAUGAGUUGAAGAGCAAAAGUCAUUUGAUUUGAUGGGAAUGUUUUCAGUUUCUAGAAAAUGUAGUUGAUUAUAUCAAAGGAAUGUGCACUUUUUCCUAUAAGGAGAGAUGAAGCAAGCUGAUUUGAAUUUGUUGGAUAGACAAGCGUUAGUAGUUAUUUAGCUAAAGUGGGCUCAUAAUGUUGCAUUUAAUAUUGAAAGAGACCGCUACAAUCUUGAUUAAUGCCAUGUCAAACAUUUACAAAAGUCCUUUAUGAUAAGCAAGAUCAACUUGGUGUGACAUUUGUUCUAGCUAAAAAUAAGCAAGUGUGUGUUAGUUGCAAAGCAUGUGGUUGAUUGUCAACUGAGUUUGGUUAAAAUUAACUUUGAUGAUGAGAUACGUGCUUUAAUUCUAUUAUCCUCGUGGCCCACUAGUUAGAAUACUACUAUCAAUGCAAUAAGCAAUUAAUCUGGUUCAAGAAACUUAAUGUUUGAUGAGGUUCACAAAUUGAUUUUAAAUAAAGACAUCCAUAAAAGAGAAUCGGGUGAACCCCUACCUAAUUGUAUAGUAAGUUAAGGUAGAAGAAGAACUAAUAUUCAUGUUAGUAGGAAUAAUGUGAACCAGAAUAGACGGAAUCAGUCUAGAAUUGUGGUAUUGUCUAUUGGAAUCGUGGCAAGAGAGUGCACCUCAAAAUGGAUUUCCUAGCCGAAGAAUGAGAGCAGUAAAGGAAUUAGAGUCUAGUCUAUCAAUGAUAUUGCUACAAUAGCUUACGGUAACCUAGAUAGUGCUGAUUAUGUUGUGCUUGUCACUAAGGGAUUGUUAUUUGAUGGUUAGGUUAUAGAUCUAGUUGCUUAUUUCAUGCGAUAGCAAACAUGAACUAUAUUACUACUUAUUAGUGCACGGAUAGUGGUGAAAUGAUGUUAAGGAAUAAUGUUGACUGCGAUGUUGUGAGACACAUUCCAGAAUUGAAGCCGAACUUGAUUUCUUGCCUGCUCUACAUUCAACUAGGUAUCAAUGUACUUCAAAAAGUAGAGUUUUGACAGUUGUUGCCAUGGUAAUUAUAAAACAAAUAGAGCACUAUUGCCUAUAUGGGAUCAAGGGGAGACGGUAACAAAUUUCAACACGGACAUUGGAUGAAUCGGUACAAGAUUAGUUGCCUAUGCAUUUAGGGAACACUACGGAGAAAAGCCCGGAAGUUUUGAAUAAAAGGAAUUUGAUGUGUGGUUAUGUGGCUAAAAAAAUUAAAUGUAUGCAGGUGCUAUAGCUUAGGCAAAUGGCUAAAAGCGCAAUUCUGUAUGACUGCAGAGAAACCACAAAGAUUGUAGAGUUGAUUCACUUAAAUGUGUGCAAGCUAUCAUAUUUUCCUUCGAGGAAGAGUACCAAUUGAUGCUAACAAUUGCAGAUCACUACUCGAUGAAGAUUUGAGUGUUUGUGUGGAGGUGCAAGUUGAAUAAUAUUGUCAGGAUUAGAUGGUUGAGAGCUUUGAGCGAAAUGAAGGCUGGUACAACAAUCAAGUAUUUGUGGACUGAUAGUAACAUGGAGUUUUACUCAAAGUAGUUGAACAAAUUCUACGUGAAGGAAAGAACAAGUUGCAAAGUUAAUGAGGAGAACAUUGCUAGGAAUAGUCCAUAAAAUGCUUUCUAGUGUUGAAAUGGCUAAGAAAUUUUCAACAAAAUGCACUUAAUACGGCGAGCUACUAGAUGAAUAGAUCUCCAUUGACUACUAUUUGAUACUAGACUCCUGAAAAAGUAUGGUCAGGUAAUUGAUUAUUUUGUUCUUAAAAUAUUUGGUUACAUAUGUUUUAUUCAAGUGAGUGACGAUAAGAUCAAUGGCAUGGCAAGAAAGUAUAUAUUCCUAGGUUAUGCAUAAGGUGAGCGGGGCUAUCAAUAUGUGGUACCUAGAAUUAUAUUCACUUAUUGCUUAUAGUAAAAUUAUAUUGAUGAGAAUCCAACAGUGUUAUGUAGGAAUAAUUGUGGUAGUAUUUUUGUAGAUGUGGCUAGUGUUCAACUCUAGAUGGAAUUGCAACCCGAAACUCUUGAGGUAGCAAGUACUUGCGUAGUAGAUAACACAUAUUCUGCUUGUAACGAGGUGAAACUUUUAGAGGUAAUGGCGGUUGUUCUAGUUAUUGAAUUUGACAAUGUGCAUAUUCGAUCUCCUAAGAUAUAUAAUGACAACAGUGGUUUUUCUUUAUUUGUGGUUGAGAAGAUUUUAUUGGAAAAUUCCCGUGAAGUGUUUAAAGGUGCAAAUAUGAGGGGUGAUAGAUUCUAGUGCAGGCUAGUUCCUAGCUUUUGGAACCGUGAACUAGUCCAACUGGUCCUAGACCCAACCAGGAAGCAAACUAACUGGUCCGAUCCGUCUGAUCCGAUUCUUAGGUGGAUCAAGAAACCGGCUCUUUUUUUAUUUUUUUCCCAUUCCCCACAAUAUUUCAAGUGUCAUUGCAUAGUUUAAACUGAUACAUGAGUCUAAGCAUAAUUAUCAUCUCCGUGAAAAAAGUUAUAAUGAUCAUCAAGAACCACGUCUGAUAGGCAUCAAGUCGCAAUGGAGGCAGCGAUGCGUGUAUGAGACUAAGAGAAGUGAGAGUGAGAGUCGUGACCAAUGAGCGUGCAUGAUUGAGUCUAAGCAAGAAAAGAACGAAAAUUUGAUUUUGGAAAUAUGGAUAAUAAGAAUUUAAAAAUUAGUCUCAUCCAAGUGGUUUGAGUGGGUGUGUUCACACAUAGAACCGAGAACUGAACCGAUAUUCAUCAGUUCCUAAUUUCAAGAACUUCCCAAUACUAAUUGAUAUGGUCCGAUUCCCAAUUCAAUCUGAUUCUUUUCCUCACCCCUAGCAAUUAGAGUUAGUAUCUUGAUAAGGUUCACUGUUAUGAUGGAGUUCAAGCGUGGCUUGGACUUAAAAGAUUCUUGUGAAGGGUGAGCCCAUGAGGGGCUGUGGAAGAGUAGCGAUGAUAAGUUUCCAUCAAAGCGAUUGUGAUUGGCCCAAACCUUGAGCAAAAGUAGAGAUUGUUGAGAAUAAGUUACAUAUUUGAGCCUAUAUAGGAAAUUCGAUCCAAGUGAGUUUCCUAAUUUAAAUAGGUUUCUUAGUCUGAGUGGUUUCCUAGCUUGAGUAGAUUUCCUAGUUUUAGUAAGCUAAAAGGGAUUUCUAGUUUGGAUUCAAAUAUAUAUAAGAUGGAUUUUGGCUUUUGCACAGUAGAAUGAGCAAAGGAACUUUAGGUCGUAAUAAUCAAUCAUGUCGUGUGCUCGUGAAUUAUAUCUUAAAGAAAUUGCAAGUUUCGUGAAGCCAAUGAAAAGAUUGAAAGAUUAUUUCGUAAAGAAUUAUGAGAGAUUUUUUUUAGAGUGUAUUUGAGUGACUCAACUAUACUUGUGAUUACCAUUAUAUCGCUUGUUUUAUAGUAAAAUUCUAUACUAGUCUCCCCGUGAAAUAGGUCCUGCCAACUAAACCUAACCGAAUCAUGUAAAGUCAGUAUCUAAUUUAUUUCCAUGUUCUAUUUAUUAUUAUUACUUGUUUUUUACAACAUUUAGAACCAAUUUAGACGAACCACAUGCAAGAGAAAUAGCCUUACCCAAAAGUUCCCAUUACUCGAGUAACUACAUGAGUAUCUGUAUCAGAAGCAAACUUUGCAAGUCCAAAAUCUGCAACCUAAAAUCAGAAUGUCAACCUUUAGAUUCAUAUCCAAAUAGCUUCACACUACAAGAUUAGAUUAUGCAUUAAAAGUUCAUCAUAACUCCAAAAAUAAUUUCAAGACUAAAACUCUAUUAUUUAGCUCUCCAAAUGAUUUCAUCAGGAAAUCAACUUUUGGAACCUAAAGAUCUUUUGCCAUUUCUCUUGGCUUCGGCUUAUAAGAGGAUGUUGGAGGGAUGCAAAGCUUUUCAAGAUAUGGAGUAGUUCGCUAGCUUAAGAAGCUAACUGAAUAAUGUGGUAGUAAAUUCCAUAAACAAUUUAGAUGAUCGAUAUUAUCAUGUAAUGAUUAAAUAGUUGCGCAUUGUACCUUUGCCUCAAAAUUAGAUUCCAGAAGAAUAUUAGCAGCCUUGAUGUCACGAUGAAUGAUUUUGGGAUUACCUGAGAAGUGAAUCCAAUAAAAAAACGAACUGCGAAACUUAUCAUAAGUAUAAGGUUUAAAAGAUCGUACUUACAUUCCUCGUGUAGAUAUGCCAACCCCCUUGUAGAACCUAAAGCAAUCUUCAUCCUCAUAGGCCAAGUCAUAGUUGGGCGAUCCUUCCCUGCAAUUGAGAUAGCUAGUAUAAUCACCUAGAGGGGGGUGAAUAGGUGCACAAACAAAUUUUCGAGAUACGGAAGCGAUUUUAGGCAAUCGAUAGAAAGGAAAAUACGAUCAAGGUAAAAUAAAGGAUAGGGAAAUGAGAAAUGAACACAAGAUUUAUAGUGGUUCGGCUUAUUCCAAGCCUACGUCCACUCUUCCGUACUGACAGCCUACCGGCUGGAUAUUACUAUGAACAAAAGAGAAGUUACAGCACAGCUUUUCCUUGAUUCCACAGUGUAGAUGUUCUAUCACACUUCCUCAAGGUUUCUCACGAAUAUAGACUCUCUUUUGUUUACACGAUUAUGCUCAACAAAUGAAUUGACUAGAAACAAGGAGCUUCAGACUUUGGAAUUCUUCUCUCGUACACCUUCUCGAACGACUAGAACGUCUUCCUUAUAUACUCCUUCAUGCCAUCAUACCCGUUGGCACUUACCAAAGGAAUUCCUCCAAUCUACCCGUUGGACGGAAUCAAUUAGGAAGAUCAUUCGAGCUAUUAAAGGAACAUGUCAAUAGCCCAUCAAUCAUGUUCGCCCAUACAAUCAGGAUCUCGGUUUCCAUAAGUAGAACCUUCCAAGUAAACUUUGCCAAUCAUCGGAUCCUUAAUUAUUCGAAUCAAUUGUGAUCAAAUAAAGAAUUCCGUUAUGUCACAUCCAGACAAGAGAUCUUCUCCAGUCGAUGAGGCUACAUCCUUAAUGAAACAUCCAGUUCUGGAUAGCCUUUCUUCAACGGAUUAGAGACUGUCAAUGAGGAUAGACUUUGAGUCUUGAGUCUGGCUAUCCGAAGGUCUUCAGACUUUAAAUAGUAGAGUCUGCAAUCCUUCAGACUAGACUGAUGGAAAAGUUUUGUCAACUUCAAAACACUUCAAGAGGAAUUUCUCCAACAAUCUCCCCCUUUUUGAUGGUGACAAAACUUUCCUGCAGAUUUGGAAAACUUUGACCUGCAAAACAUUUCUCUAGCACAUAUGCAUAUCUUAUAGAUUGAAAUGGCUUAAAUGAAUAACACUAGAAUCUGCAACCACAGAAAAUAGGUUAGUCCAGUAUGCAGUAAAACCAUCCAUAAGACAUCAAUAGUAGUUAAUAAUAAACAGUCAAAUCCAAAUCCCAAAUUUAGUCCACAUCCAGACACAAGUCAAGUCAAAACAAACCACAAUCCAAACAAACCAAAAGUUUAAGUUCAAAGUUUUUCAAGUUGCGACUAAACUCUCCCCCUUUUUGUCAACAUAAAAAGAUUGAGAUGAAAAUGAAGUCAAGUAUUCUUGGGAAUACGAACAAGCUGAAAAUCUCCCAUCGACUGAACGAUGCCUUCCAGCCUUUUAAAGUCUUCCUUCAGUUGAGCAACAUCCUCACCCUUAGCAUUGGCCUGAAUCUGAAUAGAAAGGGCUUGGAUUUGAUCAUUUAAUGAACCUGAAGAGACUUGUCCUGCAUUCUGCAAGUUCUGAACUUCACAUCCCAGUGCAUAUAUCUGACCUUGCAUUUCCAAGAGAAUAUCCAUCACUCUGCGAAAGUCUGCUGAAUUUUCGGUCUGAGUACUAGCAUUAGCACGAUCUGAUGGAGUAAAUACAGACGAUGGUAAAUCAGCAUAAUCACGCAGAUUUGGCGAAGAAACCUCAUGACCUUCUUCAGGAAACUGAGAGGCAAAAACCUCCUCUGGAUCUGCUGGGGAUCGACUGACUCCCUCACCGGUUGCUGGAUUUGAGGUCAUUCCUCUUUUCUCUUGGUCUCCCCCUGUGUCUAUGCCUUCAGGUGGAGAGUGCUCCUCAUGUUCUCCUUCUUCUUGAUCUCUUUGCUCUUCUUCUUCUUUUUCAACUCUCUCUUGCUCAGCAUCUCUUUCUUCUUCUUCUUCUCUUUCCUCUGUUUCUUUUUCCUCUGCCUCUUUCUCUGCUCUUUCUUCUGUCUGCCGAUCUGUCUCUUUCUCUGGAACAGAUUGACUGAGAUUCUUCAAAGUAGAGAUAGUGAUGUUAUCCUCAUCAUCUUCAUCCUCAACGAGGAGAGCUCUUUUUCUCUUGGAUGGAGCAUCCAUGGGCUCCUUCCCUUUCCUUUUUUCCUGCAGAAGAGAAUUGAUGAGUUUUGACUGGAGUCUUCUCCUUAAAUUUCUCCAAUGCCUUGCUUAGUUCCUUCAGACGCAUCUUGGUCACCAUUUUCAGUCCUACCACCUUAUGGUCGCACGAUCGAGCACAAAGAAUUUGUGGAGGCUGAAUGUUUAGAUGUCUGAAUAACUUUGUUACAAGAACUGGAUAAAGGAAGUUGUCAUCUGUCCUUCAUCACAGCUCUAUACAUAUGGAACAUAACAAUAUGAGGAAGUGAAAACCUUUUCCCAAUGAUGAUGGCAUACAUUAGCUUUGCCUCUGAACUUGAGACAUCAGUCUUGGAAGUUGAUUUCGGUCUGAGGCAAUUAAUUACAAUUUUGUGAAGCAAGAUGUUAAAUGCACUCAUCCUUGAAUAGGAAAUCUUUCCCUCUGUUUUCCUGUCUUUAACAAGUUCCAGAGUAGUACGAGCAAUAGAGACUUUGAUCCGUUGAUACCUUCCUCUCUCAACUCCUAACACAUCUGCCAGCAUAUCCAUAUCCACAACAAAGUCUUGAUCUUUGACACUGAAGGAGAAUCUAUUCACAUCCAAGAAACUAAGAUUUGAAUAGAAAUAUGCAGAUAGUUGAGGAUAGGCCUCUGUGGAGUCAGAGCAGAAUUUCUCAAGUUGAAGAUGACCAAACUUUUCCCUUAAGUUCACACUUACAGCAUCCAGAAAGUCAAAAUCUACACUCCUAGGGUUUAUCACCCCACGCUUCAGCAAUUUUGAGUAUAUAUCCAUAUGUUCCUUCGAUCUAAACAACUCUCCUUUUUUUCCUCGAUUUUCCACCGCAAUUCCUAUUCUUGGCUGAAAUUCGCUGUAUAAUUUGUCAUCAUCAUUUCCAUCCACCGGAUUAACUCCCCAAUCACGAGGGUCACUUGGGAUAUUCGCAAGGGAUUCUUCUGCCACGAGCAAUUCCCAAACUUUCCAUUUUUCGCAUAAAGAUAUAUUCAUUUCCAUAUCAUUUGUCCUUAAGAAAAUCAUCCACAUAGUUCAACAGAGUACCAGUCCCUUUUAAAGCACGAUACAACUUAUAAAUAAAAGAGGGCCUUUGAACUCUUACAGGGUCUGCAUCUUCAAUGAUUUCUUCAUUUUGAUGAUGAUCAACAUCUUGAGGACUAGAUGGAGGAGAAUGACGCUGCUGAGAAUGUUGUGGGCUCUGCUGCUGAUUUGGAGACACUUCUUCUUCAGUGAGGUCGAAGUGCGUAGGCCCCUCACUCAUUCGCUAUGGUCCCCUGCUUGCGAUCCUCGAAGACUUUCUUGAAGACGACAUCUUUCUUAGUCUUUGAAAGAUUCCUUGCUUGACUUUCCCAAGAAAGAUGACAACUUUUUCAAAGAUUAAACAAGAGAAGAAAACAGGAAUGGAAGAAUGGUGCUUUUUAGGGUUUUAGAGUUAAGCGAGGAGAAACCGAUUAUAUAUAAGACAGUCGUAAGGAGGGGAUACCAACCGUCGUAAUGGUAAGUAAAAAAAAUGCCUUUUAAAAAAUAACUGCCUUUUUCGAAAUAGUUACAUCAAAAUAACUUCUUUUUCUAAAGGAAACGAUGCAAUAAUUUCGUCAAUUAAAGAUAGCGAUUGAGAUAAUCAACACGGUUGAUCAACGUACCUUUUCAAAAUGAGAUUAGAGAGAGAAUAACUUACAGUCAAAGUCUUGCAGUCAAACUCUUAUAGUCUAAGUCUGAGAGUCUCUAGACUUUAACUUCUUCAAAGUUCAAAAUGUUGAGUCUUGAACGGAUAAUUUCAAAUUGAUUUUUCUCCAAAGGCUUUGUAAAUAUAUCCGCCAGUUGGUUCUUUGAGUCAACAAACUGAAUCAAAAUUUCUCCAUUUUGAACAUGAUCUCUAAUGAAGUGAUGUCGAAUCUCUAUAUGCUUUGCUCUUGAGUGAAGAAUUAGAUUUUUGGUGAGAUUGAUUGCGCUGGUGUUGUCACAUUUAAUCUCCGUGCAUGAAUCUUCAAUUCCGAAAUCUCUUAGCUGUUGUUUUAUCCACAGAAUUUGUGAACAGCAACUUCCAAGAGCUACAUACUCUUCUUCUGCUGUAGAGAGAGCUACUGUACUUUGCUUUCUUGAAAACCAAGACACUGCCCUGCCUCCAAGUAGUUGACAGGUACUUGAGGUGCUCUUUCUAUCAACUCUGCAUCCGGCUAGGUCUGCAUCUGAGUAUCCAAGAAGAGUAAAGUCUCCCCUUUUAGGAUACCAGACCGAAGCUUGAAGUUGAUGCAAUAUAUUUGAUAAUACGCUUUGCAGCAGUUAAAUGUGAUUCUUUAGGGUCUGCUUGAAAUCUGGCACAAAUGCAAACACUAAACAAAAUAUCAGGUCUAGAAGCAGUAAGAUAAAGAAGUGAACCAAUGAUACUCCUAUAUAACUUUUGGUCGACUUUCUUUCCUCCUUCAUCUUUAUCUAUCUUCACGGAGCUUGACAUUGGUAUAUCAGACUUUUUGCAAUUGUUCAAUCCAAACUUCUUCACAAUAUCAUUAGCAUAUUUUUCUUGAUAAAUAAAAGUUCACUCCUUCAAUUGUUUUACUUGAAAUCCAAGAAAGAAGGUUAACUCACCCAUCAUGCUCAUUUCAAAUUCAUCCUGCAUAGUCUUAGAGAAUUUCUUGCACAGACUUUCAUUAGAGGAUCCAAAAAUAAUAUCAUCGACAUAUAUUUGAACAAGUAGAAAACUCUUGCUUUCUCUUUUAAUAAAAAGAGUAGUGUCUACUUUACCUUUAACAAAUCCAUUUUCUAUUAAAAACUUACUCAGUCUGUCGUACCAAGCUCGAGGAGCUUGUUUCAAGCCGUAUAAAGCCUUUUUGAGUCUGAAUACUGAGUCUGGUUUCUUUGGGUCUUCAAACCCAGGUGGUUGUUCCACAUAGACUUCCUCUUGGAUGAAUCCAUUUAGGAAGGCACUUUUGACAUCCAUUUGGAAUAACCUGAAAUUCUUAUAACAAGCAAAAGCAAGUAAUAAUCGAAUUGCUUCUAACCUUGCUACUGGUGCGUAAGUCUCGUCAUAGUCUAUCCCUUCUUCUUAUGUAUAUCCCUCGGCCACGAGUCUUGCCUUGUUUCUUAUUACUUUUCCUUUCUCGUUCAUCUUGUUCCUGAAAACCCAUUUAGCUCCAAUAACUGAUUUACCUUUCGGUUUAGGAGUUAAUUCCCAGACAUCAUUAACUCUAAAUUGCCUGAGCUCUUCUUGCAUAGCUUCAAUCCAGCUUUCAUCAGAUAAAGCUUCUUCUAUGCUUUUGGGUUCUAUUUCAGAAAUAAGAGCCACAGCACUAGACUCUUCACGCCUUUUGGAUCUUGUGCGAAUUCCUUCAUUGAUGUCGCCAAUAAUAAGAUCUUUGGGAUGACUGGACUUAUGUUUCCAGUUGCUGGUUAAUUUGUCAGAUUGAUGGUCACUUUCUUCACUUGAGUCUUCAACAGUCACUUGUUGCUGGUCCUUCAAAGUCUGAGCUAUUUUAGACUUUGUAAAGUCUGGAGCAGGUUCAAAUUCUUCAAGAUGAGUCUGAAUGGAUUCAUUUUGCAUAGAAUCCUGGAAUUUAACAUUCAUUGAUUCUUCCACUGUUUGAGUCUUCUUGUUGUAGACUCUGUACGCUUUGCUUGUGGUUGAAUAUCCAAGGAAGAUGCCUUCUUCUGAUUUUUCUUCAAACUUUCCAACUCGAUCAUUUGCAUUUUUCAGUAUUAAACAUUUGCAUCCAAAUACACGAAAAUAUGAAACAAUAGGCUUCUUUUCUUUGAACAGUUCAUAGGGAGUUUUUUCCAGAAUAGGCCUUAGAAAGACUCUAUUUAUAAUGUAACAUGCUGUAAAAACUGCUUCAGCCCAGAAAUGUGAAGAGAUGUUACUUUCAAUUAGAAGAGUUCUAGCCAUUUCUUGAAGAGAUCUAUUCUUUCUUUCCACAACUCCAUUUUGCUCUGGGGUAUAUGGAGAGGAGAAUACAUGCUGAAAACCAGAUUCAUCACAGAAUUUUAUAAAGUCAUGAUUUUCAAACUCACCUCCAUGAUCUGUUCUUAUACUCGAUAUAACAUACCCUUUUUCAUUUUGAACCUUUUUAGCAAACUUUUCAAAGUGAGAGAAGGUUUCAGACUUGCCAAGAAAUAUACCCAAGUGAAUCAUGAGUAAUCAUCCACAAUUACCAGGCAGUAUUUCUUACCUCCAAUGCUUUGCAUUCUGGUUGGUCCAAAAAGAUCCAUAUGCAAAAGCUGCAGUACACGGUUAGUGGAAACUUGAUUUAUUGGUUUAAAGGAAUUUCUUACCUGUUUUCCCAAUGUACAUGGUGUACAUAGAUCAGACUUUUGAUAUGAUAAAUUGGGUAGUCCACGAACAAGCUUCUUUGAUGAGAUUUUGGCUAUUUGCUUCAUAUUGACGUUCCCAAGCUUUCUGUGCCAUAAGUUUGCUUCGUCUUGGAUUGAGAUUAGACAUUGUGAUUCAUCUGGUUUCACAUCCAAGAGGUAGAUAUUUCCAUGUCUUUGACCCAUGAAUGACUGAGUAGAAUCUUUACUAAUUCCAGAACAUAUUCCCUCUUGAAAGUUGAUUUUGAAACCAGUAUCACAAAGUUGACUAAUACUGAGCAAAUUGUAAUUGAGCCCUUCCACUAAGGAAACAUUGCUGAUUUUGAGAUUUCCAAUCUUUACAGUUCCAAAUCCCACAAUUUUUCCUUUGUUGUUUCCUCCAAAAGAAACUUUUCCACCAUUUACUUGAACAAGCUUUAUGAAGAAAUUUGAGUUUCCUGUCAUGUGUCUUGAGCAUCCACUAUCAAGAUAGCAUUUUACCUUUUUCUUGAUGGUGACCUGCAUUUAAAAAAGAAACUCAAGCCUUCUUUGGUACCCAUAUUUUCUUGGGUCCAUUGGUGUUAGUAUGAUAUGCAGUUUUUGCCCAUACAUUUUUAACAAGUUUCCAAAUCAUAGGACAUUCUUUUUCAAAAUGAUCUGCACUAUUGCACUUUGAGCAUUUGAGAGCAUUACGACCUACUGGUUUUACAAAGAUUCUUUUAAAAUGAUUUUUGUAGGCAUCUCUUGAGGGUCUUUGUUUGAUUCUUUCUUUUACCUUAGGAAAAUCAAUUAAAGGAAUGGUUUCAUCAGUCAUUCCUAAACUAGAUUUAUUAAAAUAAGGUCUUUGAACAGAAAGAAUUUUUUCUAGUUUCUCAGAUCCUAUAGAAAAUCUUUUGGAAAUAUUUGAGAUAUCUCUUUUUAAGAAUGCAUUUUCUUUUAACAAGAUAUCUUCACUUUCUUUAAGAGAAGAAACAUUCUUGUCUAAACUUUUCACUUUUUCUUUCAAAAUAUUUUCCUGUUGUUUUAGAGCAGAAUUUUCUUUCUUGAGUUCGGAAAUUCUUUUAAGAGAAGUCUUAAGACUGAAACACAAUUCAUCAAUAUAUUUCGAAACCUUAAUAGGGAUUUUGAAGUUACUUACUUCAAAUUCGCUUUCUGAGUCUGAAUCUGUCUCGGAGUUUGAAUCCGAAUCCGAUUGUGCCAUCAGACAUAUGUUGGCAUAGUCAUCAUCACUUUAUUCACACUCUGUAUCACUCCAGGUUUCAGCUUUAAGAGUUUUUCGGUACUUUUCAGUCUUUCAUUUCUUCUUCCUUAGAAGAGGACAGUUGGGUCUGAUGUGUCCCUUUUUCUUACAUUCAAAGCAGACUAUAUCUUUGUUUGAUUCAUCAUCCUCAACAAACUUAGUCUGUUGCUUUUGAAAGCUUUGUUUUUUUGGAUUGAAUCUUGUUCCUUUUCUGUUCAGCUUUCUGAAUCUUCUUAUCAUGAGAGCAAGUUCCUCAUCAUCCAUAUCGUCUUCAGAACCUGUAGCAUCAGAAUCAUCAUUAGAUUUUAACGCAAUGGAUUUCUUACCUUUAGGGUCUUCGUCUUCAUUGAUUCGUUCCACUUCAUAAGACUGAAGAGUCCCAACCAACUCAUCAACAGAUAUAGGCAUUAUUCUUUGGGUUUCUCUGAUUGAGGUCUUUAUGUGAUUCCAAUCCUUGGAGAGUCCACGCAGUAGCUUGUUUACUUUCAUGGGAUCAGAAAUUGGUUGACCUUGAUUUUCAAGACCGUUCACAAUAUCUGUAAAACAACUAAACGUAUCAAUUAUAGAUUCUCCUGGUUUCAUUUUGAAAGCUUCAUAUUGGCCGAGGAGAAUGUUGAUUCUAGUCUUUUUCACUCGAUCGGUUCCUUCAUAAGUAAUAUGUAAUCUAUCCCAGACUUCUUUAGCUGUAACACAAGAAGAUAUUCUGUUAUAUUCAGUAGGAGAUAAAGCACAAUAUAAUGAAUAAAUUGCUUUUGCAUCAAGAGCUUGUCUCUUGAUUUUCUCUUCCUGAGUCAUUUCACUAGACUCAACAACAUCUUUUCCUCUUUCUGAGACAGAUGCAGCUUUAGGAAUAAUUCAUUUUUCUACAACGUCCCAUUCCAGAGGAUCCUUUGAUCUUAGGAAUGCUUUCAUCUUGUUCUUCCAUAUGUUGUAAUCCUUUCCAUCAAAGUAAGGAGGUCUGGUAUUGCUUUGCCCUUCUACCAGCCCUGGAGCCAACAUACUAGCCAUGAAUCUUUAACUCUGAAGUAAAACACUUCAACAAAAGUGAGUACACAGCUCUGAUACCAAUUGAGAUAGCUAGUAUAAUCACCUAGAGGGGGUGAAUAGUGCACAAACAAAUUUUCGAUAUACGGAAGCNNNNNNNNNNNNNNNNNNNNNNNNNNNNNNNNNNNNNNNNNNNNNNNNNNNNNNNNNNNNNNNNNNNNNNNNNNNNNNNNNNNNNNNNNNNNNNNNNNNNNNNNNNNNNNNNNNNNNNNNNNNNNNNNNNNNNNNNNNNNNNNNNNNNNNNNNNNNNNNNNNNNNNNNNNNNNNNNNNNNNNNNNNNNNNNNNNNNNNNNNNNNNNNNNNNNNNNNNNNNNNNNNNNNNNNNNNNNNNNNNNNNNNNNNNNNNNNNNNNNNNNNNNNNNNNNNNNNNNNNNNNNNNNNNNNNNNNNNNNNNNNNNNNNNNNNNNNNNNNNNNNNNNNNNNNNUCGAACAACUAGAAGUCUUCUUAUAUACUCCUUCAUGCCAUCAUACCCGUGGCACUUACCAAAGGAAUUCCUCCAAUCUACCCAUUGGACGAAAUCAAUUAGGAAGAUCAUUCGAGCUAUUAAAGGAACAUCUCGAUAGCCCAUCAAUCAUGUUCGCCCAUACAAUUAGGAUCUCGGUUUCCAUAAGUAGAACCUUCCAAGUAAACUUUGCCAAUCAUCGGAUCCUUAAUUAUUCGAAUCAAUUGUGAUCAAAUAAAGAAUUCCGUUAUGUCACAUCCAGCCAAGAGAUCUUCUCCAGUCGAUAAGGCCACAUCCUUAAUGAAACAUCCAGUUCUGGAUAGCCUUUCUUCAACGGAUUAGAGACUAUCAAUGAGGAUAGACUUUGAGUCUUGAGUCUGGCUAUUCGGAGGUCUUCAGACUUUAAAUAGUAGAGUCUGCAAUCCUUCAAACUAGACUAAUGGAAACGUUUUGUCAACUUCAAAAUACUUCAAGAGGAAUUUCUCCAACAGCAAUGACAUUUGCCAGUUCCAACGAUUAUAAUGUUUUCAAUAAGCCAAAAUAACUACACAUACUUUGUUGCCUACGCAUGCGCAUUGCAGUGGAGAUCAAGUUAGCUGAUUAUUAUGAGAUUCCACCAAAAUCACCUGAGAUUUUUUUUUCCCUUUUUUAUACUUUUUAGUGGACUUUUGCCGCUUACUUGGAAAAGGCUAGGCAAUUGUCGUCGUCACUAACAACAGCAUUUGGAAACAGUGAUCCAAUUUGAUUAAGAGAAAAAUGAAAUUCAACAUAAUCUCAGCAUACUGCCAGAUAAACAACUUUGAUAUACAAAUCCCUUACUCCAGAUUAGAGGGAACAUAUAGACGAGUCCACAAUUCCAGCAGCACUUAAAAAAGGCAUUGACCAUAGAAUAUCAAAGUUGUAUGGUAGCUAGAGUCCAUAAGAGAGAGAGAGAGGGCAUCUCGGAUGAAAGACGUACAUGUAUUCCUCUAAAGUCAUACUCACCGUGCAAAUGAAAUUCCAAUGUGCCAUUUGGAACAAACUCAUAUACCAAAAUUCUAUGAGGACCAGAAAUGCAGUAACCAAUAAGCUCAACAAGGUGUCUGUGAUGAAUACAGCUAAUGAUCUCGACCUCUGCUUGAAAUUCCCUCUCUCCUUGUCCGCUUCCAGGUUUUAACUGCUUGAUUGCAACUACUUUCCCGCUCGAAAGUACUCCUUUAUAAACCAAGCCAAAACCACCUUGGCCAAGUAGGUGGAGAUUGGAGAAACCGUUUGUUGCUAUUUUUAGUUCUUCAUAUGUGAAUGUGCCCUGUGAAAGACCUAAUGCCGUGCCUGGAGAUGAUACCGAAGGUGGUCUUAAUGUACACGUAUUUGUUAUUGAGAAUGGCCCUGAAGGAGUCAGACUUCGGGAACUCGACAGAAUAAAAUUACGAAGAAUUUACGAAUUUUAAGAGCUCGCAGUCAAGCAUAGAAAUCUCACCUGUAGGCCCCUGUGGAGGAUAACUCCCCGACUCAAGCCGCCGGAUCUUCCUUCGAUAUAGAAUCACGGAUAUGUACGUUAUGGACGAUCCAACCAUCAAAAGGAGCCCCCCAAUCCCAAUCCCCAGAUACCCACGCACCGGUGGGGGAGGACUUGCCGUCGAGGCGUCACCUGUGGGAUACACCCCUGCCAUCGACGAGUGAGCCACCUAGCUCGCUGUUGGGACUUCAACAGAGGCCACCAGAGGCCCACGAGAUCGAUGCGUACGACGUUGCCCGGAGUGGAAUGAAAAUUGUUUUCAAAUAUUUUUGGGGAAUGAAAAUUGUUUUCAAAUAUUUUUGGGGAAGUUUUGGACGGAUGUAGUUCGAGUGGAUGACAGAUAGCCGGAAAAGUGAGGGCAAAAGCUGGGAGGAGCAUCCCAUAAAUAUGUUCUAAAAUUUCGUAUCUUUACAAAAAUCAGACUGUAGUGGUCCUUAGCAAGACCUUAAAAGAAUAUAACCACCACGAAAGUCCGGGAACAGCCAGAUAAGGGCUUGGAAAAAGAUUCCUUCCCCACGGGGGGUCCACCAAGGGACCUUUUAAAGGGUUUUCCUAACCCCCCAACUUGAGAAUAGGAGGCUGACCGUUUAAGUGCGAGACUAAACCUAUUCAAUGAUAGUUCCAGACCCUCAGAAGGGGUUUGGCUCGUAUCAUUUAAAAAAUGGAAAAUAUCAUAAACAAUCCCUAAACUUUCACUUAAUGUAUAAUCUCGUCCAUAGACUUUUAAUUCAUUCAAUUUGGUCCCUGAAUUAUCGGUAAAUGUCCGAUUUAGUCUCUGACUAUUUGAAAAUUGACCAAUUUCGUCCCUGAGCUUUUGAUUUGCUCAAUUUGGUCCAUGAACUAUUAACAAAUGUUCCAUCUAGUCCUUCCGUUUGUUCAAACCGUUAAGUGAUGAUGUGGAGUAUUAAUUGAUGACGUGGAACUAAAUUGGAUUACUAGAAUUAUGAGUCAAUAUAUAUCUUAAAAAAUAAAAACAAAUUAGGGGUCAGUUAGAGAUCAGAGCACUGAUCACAAAAGCAAAGAGAAGAAAUGGUUCUAUAUCUUUUUUUUUUGGACGAUGACCACAAUUUGACUUGUUUUAAAGGUAAUUUCCAUGUGGAUAUUCCACAUAUCCUUUUUUAUUUUAUAUUUAAGAAACUAAAAGCCAUGGAAGCCAAUUUCGUUAACUUUUACUAAUAGAAUGACGAAAUUGGUCAAUUUUCAAAUAGUCAGGGACUAGAUCGGACAUUUAUCGAUAAUUUAGGGACCAAAUUGAACAAAUUAAAAGUCUAGGGAUUAGAUUGCACAUUAAGUGGUAGUUUAGGGACCAAAUUGAGCAAAUCGAAAGCUCGGAGAUGAAAUUGAACAUUAGAUGAAAGUUCAAGAACCAUUUGUGACAUUUUCCCUAUAAAAAAAAUAAUAUAUAUAGUCUUGAAGGUUAAAAUCGUAUUUCACCUCAAAUAGAUAUGGUCUAAAUUAGGCUGCUAGAUGAAAAUUUUGCAAUAUUGCAUACUUUCUUAAGCCAAGCAUCGACUGUUUGUGACAUGGCUAGUUAAGAGUAAAGACGGAUUAAUCAACUUAUGCCUUUGCUAAAUCUAAUUCCACGGCUUGUUAUGCUAUCUUCUUUGGGAAAAUAUAAGGGAGGCAGAAAAGAAAAGUGGAAAGAAUCGAGAUUGGAUUUGAGGAGCAAAGCAUAAAUUGUGUUGAAUACUUGGGACUUACUUACUGAAGAUUUUUGCAAGUUUUUAAGCCAAUCAAUUUUCUAGUAAGAUUUGUGAAUUCCAGGAAAAUUGUCCAAGAAAUUUUAAACCUAUUGUAGCAUUACCAAUUUAAUCCUAAAAUUUUCAAUUUUAUCAAUUAAGUCCACUGGCAAAUUUUGGUUAGAAAUAACUAAUAUGAACGCCGAUCAUCUUACGCGAUAGGUCAGCGCUAAUAUGGACAAUUUUUAAUACUACUUCUUUUAUGUGCUUUUUUUGGGUCUCACCAAUGACCCUCGCUGGCUGUGGAGGCCUCCAUCGUCUCCGGUGAGGCCACAAAGGCCCUAGAUGAGACCAUCGCGACCCCACUGGCUGCGAACAAGGUGGUUCUCACCCAGAUCUUGCGAGGGCUACCUCAUCCUCUCCUGUAGCUGGCGAGGUUGUGAAGUCCUCACCUAGGGCCUCACUACAGAAACCCAAAAAAAAAAAAAAGCACAAAAAAAGGAAAAGAAGAAAUUCAAAAAUAAAAAUAAAAAUUCCAUGAAAUAUUAAAAUAUGAUUAAAAAGUAUCAAUGUCAGAGCCGACCAUCUAUGUUAGCAGUUUCUAGCAAAAAUUGGCAAUUUCGAACCAAAAUUGGUUGAAUGGGACUUAAUUGGCAAAAUAUGAAAGGGUUUAGACUCAAUUGAGAAAAUCGAAAUGUUUGGAACUGAAUUGGCAAAAAUUGAAUAACUUUACGAUUUUUUGGACAAUUUUUGCAUGAAUUCCUUUGCAAGAUUGGGUGAUUAAGUUUAAAGAGGAAUCGUGAGGACCAAACAAUGCAAUUAGAGAUAGGGAAAUACCAAGAGCAUUGCCUAAUUUAAAUAUGGUUGUAAUGUCCGUUUUAUUACCUGAUCAAUAGUAGAAUCAUGUGGUACCUUUGUCGUGUAAUCAUUCACACUAAUCGAAUCACUUAAAUUCAAUUUUCUAAUUUUCUUUUAUUUUGUUUAUUUUAUUAUUUGAUCACUGAAUCGCAAAUUAUAUUUAACGUUUGUCCUAACCAAUGACUAACGUAGAACCAAUUUCUAGAAGCAAGCUAAUAUUUUAGUAAAUUUGUACUCUAAACGUGAAAUGGACCCAGCUGUUGUCUGGUCAACGACGACCGCCGUGUCAUGCAAUCCCACUUUUUCUAAACGCACUUUUUCUUCCCUACUUUGUUGGACGAUCUGAUGAAGUGUGUCGUACGCCGUUGGACGUGGAACAUGGGAGAGUGGGACAUCGAGAAACUGUCCAUUUUGUGAAUGGGAACAUGAUCAUUUUUCUCCGAGUCCAGCUCAAUUGAGGUCACAAGACAAUCUACAUGGAUCAAUCAAUCCUAAUCAAAUUCCGUUGUUGAGUAAAAUAUGAAGGAUGUAAUCAAAUUCCUUUUGUCAAGUGAAAAAUGAAGGAUAUGGAAAAAAUAAUUAUUUAUUUCGCUUACAAAAAUGAUCAUAUUGACCAUUUUAUGAAGCUUGCUCUGGAGAGAUUUAACUGUUUUUGUUAAUUUGGAGUGCCGAAUGCUCCUUUCUAAUAGACGAUUGGAAAAUGAUGAAAGGGAACAUGAUUAAAAAUUGUUUAUGUUAACGCUAACUGUAUACGUUAGCAGUUUAUAGUCAAAAUUGGCAAUUUCUAACCAAAAUUGGCGAAAUUGACUCAAUUAGCAAAGUACAAAAAAAAAUUAGACCCAAUUGAGAAAAUUAAAAUAUUUAGAACUGAAUUUACGAUUUUUUGGACUUUUUUCGCAUGAAUUCCUUUGCAAGAUUGGGUGAUUUAGUUUAAUGAGGAAUUGUGAGGACCAAAUAAUGCAAUUAGGGAUAGGGAAAUACCAAGAGCAUUUGCCUAAUUUAAAUAUGGUUGUAAUGUCCGUUUUAUUACCCGAUCAAUAGUAGAAUCAUGCGGUACCCUUGUCGCGUAAUCGUUCACACUAAUUGAACCACUUAAAUUCAAUGUUCUAAUUAUUCUUUUAUUUUGUUUAUUUUAUUAUUUGAUCACUGAAGCACAAAUUAUAUUUAAUGUUUGUCCUAACCAAUGGUUAACGUAGAACCAAUUUCUAGAAGCAAGCUAAUAUUUUAGUAAAUUCGUACUCUUUAAACGUGAAAUGAGCCAAGCUGUUGUCAGGUCAACGACGACCGCCGUGUCAUGCACUCCCACUUUUUUCUAAACGCACGCUUUCUUCCCUACUUUGUUGGACGAUCUAAUGAAGUGUGUCGUACGAUGUUGUUGGAAAAUCAAGAUUUUCCAACGUGGAACAUGGGAGCGUGGGACAUCGAGAAACUGUCCAUUUUGUGAAUGGGAACAUGAUCAUUUUUCUCCAAGUCCAGCUCAGUUGAGGUCACAAGACAAUCACAAUGGAUCAAUCAAUCCUAAUCAAAUUUCGUUGCUGAGUGAAAAAUGAAGGAUCUAAUCAAAUUCCAUUUGUUGAGUGAAAAAUAAAAGAUCUGAAAAAAUGAUUAUUUAUUUCGCUUAUAAAAAUGAACAUAUUGACCAUUUUAUCAAGCUUGCUCUGGAGAGAUUUAACUAUUUUUGUUAAUCUGGCGUGCCGAAUGCUCCUUUCUAAUAGACGAUUGGAAAUUAUGAAAGGAAACAUGGUUAAAAAUUGUCCAUGUUAACGCUAACCGUAUACGUUAGCAGUUUCUGGUCAAAAUUGGCAAUUUUUAACCAAAAUUGACUGAAUGGACUCAAUUAGUAAAGUACAAAAAAAUUUAGACUCAAUUGAGAAAAUUAAAAUAUUUAGAACUAAAUUUACGAUUUUUUGGACAUUUUUCGCAUGAAUUCCUUUGCAAGAUUGGGUGAUUAAGUUUAAUGAGGAAUUGAGAGGACCAAAUAAUGCAAUUAGGGACAGGGAAAUACCGAGGGCAUUUGGCUGAUUUAAAUAUGGCUGUAAUGUCUAUUUUAUUACUCGAUCAGUAGUAGAAUCAUUCGGUAUUCUUAUUGUGAAAUCGGUCACACUAAUCUAACCACUUAAAUCCGGCGUUCUAAUUAUUCUUUUGUUUUGUUUAUUUUAUUAUAUGAUCACUGAAGCGCAAAUUAUAUUUAGCGUUUGUCGUAGCCAACGGUUAACGUAGAACCAAUUUCUGGAAGCAAGCUAAUAUUUUAGUAAAUUUGCACUCUUAAACAUGAAAUGAUGAGCUAAGUUGCUGCCUGGCCAACGACGACCCCCGUGUUAUGCACUCCCAAUUUUUCUAAACCCACUUUUUCUUCUCUUACUUUGUCGGACGAUGUGAUGAAGUGCGUCGCGCGCCGUGGAAAGUCAAGAUUUUCUAACGUGGAACGUGGGAGAGUGGGACAUCAAGAAUCUGUCCAUUUUGUUAAUGGGAACAUGAUCAUUUUUCUCCAAGUCCAGCUCGGUUGAGGUCACAAGACAAUCGCGAUGGAUCAAUCCAUCCUAAACAAAUUCCGUUUAUUAAGCGGAAAAUGAAGGAUCUGGAAAAAAUUAUGUCGUUUAUAAAAAUGAUCACAUUGACGGUUUUAUGAAGCUUGCUCUGGAGAGAUUUAACUGUUUUUGUUAAUCUAGCAUGUGGAAUGCUCCUUUCUAAUAGAAGACGGGAAAAUGAUAAAAGGAAAGCAGUAAGCAGGUAAAAGAUUUCUAAAAUUAUUACCGUGGAAUUUUUUAUUUUACAUAUUAUGCACUUCAUUACAACAAUAUAUAUAUUGGUAAGGAAUGACAUUACAACAAUAUAUUUGUGACGCUAUAAAAUAUUUUUUGCGACAUUUUACGAUAUUUUCUAUAUCAUAAAGGUGAAAAAUCAUGACUGUUUUGAUCAGUUAACAUCAAUAAACCCCAUCAUGAUGAUUAAUGAUUGCAACAACAAAAAAAAUACGUGGGUACAGAUAAGAAUUAUGCAGAAGAGUGUCAAAAUAAUAUCUGAAGGCUGCUGAUUUGUUGAAGGAUAGCUGCGAGUGGUAAUAAACGCGACCAGUGCGGUUGAUGUUGCUACAACCACCGAGGGAUAAGCCCCUUGGGUGCAUUUUAGAUAACAAAAGCUCCGAUACAAAUUAAAAAAUGCAAUCCAAAAGUUUAAACCGACAAUUGAAAGAAUAUAAAGAAUGUAUAAACCUCAUUGUCAAGCUUAAUUGAGCCGUGUAAGUGUUAUGGUAGAAAGGCAAUUAAUAUUUGACAUGUGUAGGAAAAUUCAAAUUAGACAACGUAUUGUUGGAGAAAUCUUCUUGAAAUGUUUUGAAGUUGACAAAACAUUUCUAUCAGUCUAGUCUGAAGGCUUGCAGACUCUGCUAUUUAAAGUCUGAAGACCUCCGGACAGCCAGACUCAAGACUCAAAGUCUAUCCUCAUUGACAGUCUCUAAUAUGUUGAAGAAAGGUUAUCCAGAACUGGAUGUUUCGUUAAGGAUUUAACCUUAUCAACUGGAGAAUAUCUCGUGGCUGGAGAAGACAUAAUGGAGUCCUUUGAUUGAUCGAAGAUUGACUCGAUAAUUGAAGAUCCGGUGAUUGCCUAAAUAUUAUUGGAAUGUUCUGCUUAUGGAAACCGAGAUCCUGAUUGUAUGGGCGAACAUGAUUGAUAGGCUAUCAACACGUUCCUUUAAUAGCUUGAACAAUCUUCCUAAUUGAUUCCGUCCAACGGAUAGAUUGGAGGAAUUCCUUUGGUAAGUGCCAACGGGUAUGAUGGCAUAAAGGAGUAUUUAAGGAAGACGGUCUUAGUUGUUCAAGGCGUGCGCGAUAGAAGAAUUCCAAAGUCUGAAGCUCCUUUUUGUUUAGACAAUUCCUUUUAGCGAAUAAUUGUAUACAAAAGAGAGUCUAUAUUUGUGAGAAAUCUUGAGGAGGUGUGGUAGAACAUCUACACUGUGGAAUCAAGGCAAAGCUGUGCUGUAACUUCUCUUUUGUUCAUAGUGGAAUCCAGCCAAUAGGCUGUCAAUGAAGAAGAGUGGACGUAGGCUUGAUAUAAGCCGAACCACUAUAAACCGCAUGUUCAAUUUUCUCUUCUCUCAGUCUUACUUUGAUUAUCGUUUCCUUCAACUGUCUAGUAUUGUGCAAUUGUUGAAGAAAAAUCUUUUAUAUACCUAUUCACCCCCCUCUAGGUACUCAUACUAGCAAUAUCACGUAUGACAUACAACGACCGCGAAGAACACCGUGUGCAUGGAGGCUUGCCAAUAUUUUGUGCUUAUAAACAAUGGAGGAGACUUGACUUAGCACUUGGAUAUGAAAUGAAAACCAGAACAACGACCACCCGAGCGCACGUAAAUAUGCUCUCUCUCUCUCUCUCUCUCUCUCUCUCUCUCUCUCUCUCUCUCUCUCUCUCUCUCUCUCUCUCUCUCUCUCUCUCUUCUUAAGCCANNNNNNNNNNNNNNNNNNNNNNNNNNNNNNNNNNNNNNNNNNNNNNNNNNNNNNNNNNNNNNNNNNNNNNNNNNNNNNNNNNNNNNNNNNNNNNNNNNNNNNNNNNNNNNNNNNNNNNNNNNNNNNNNNNNNNNNNNNNNNNNNNNNNNNNNNNNNNNNNNNNNNNNNNNNNNNNNNNNNNNNNNNNNNNNNNNNNNNNNNNNNNNNNNNNNNNNNNNNNNNNNGAGCCAAUGGAGCAGUUCUGCAGAUGAUCAAUAAUACCGAAGAUCAGGACACCAUCAGAACACCGAUACCCCCUAUCCGUGAGCUACCGGAGAGUGACGGAACCGAGGUAACGAUCUUAUUAAAACAUAAGAACCAGCUAUGGUCAGUCCGAUCCAUGAAAGCUGAACUGUACUUUAUUAGAGCAUGCCAUAAUCGUACGGCACGGCAAAUACAUAAAGAUGGGAACAAUUUGUCCCAAAGAGCUCUGAACUAGAGAUAAGCUAGUUGCUGAGUCCUCAAUCUGAGUGCCAGGCCGGUUCAGUCUGAUUCGUCUUCAGAAACAAAGAACUGGACCAAUUAUUUCCGAUUUUUAAGAUUCCAAACUAUGAACCGGACUGAUUAUUCCCUCAGGAACCACCCAUAACCAGCCAGUUUUGUCUGGUUUCCAAUUCGACCCUGAGACCGGUGCUCGCCCCUAGUUUUUACCAUAUAGAGAUUAUAUAUUCUCAUUGGAUGAUAGGACUGUUUGCAUUUCCUUCGCAUAAUUAUAGUAAUGAAUGGCCAUGAUCAUAUUGUAAGGGCAAAAACGUGGGAACAUAUCUAGAUGAAUGAUAAUUGUCUAAUCAUAAGAUCAACAACAUAUCUGGAUCUGGGCGUGCACACAGGAGGACGAAGCUCAUUUUUUUAUACUUUAAUAUCGUGGAUCGGUGAGAUAUCAGAUCCCACGAAGAUAGAAUAAAUCGCAUCGCACAAAAGCCACAUUCCACUAGGGAAUGGAGAAAGUAAUAACAAAUGAUGGAAUGUCACCGAACAAACAUACUAUACGUAAGAGUAUUUCCCUAUGCUUGAAAUGUACAUUCAACACUAAGAGUAACGUAGACAUACUACACGUAAACAUACUAUACGUAAGAGUUAUUCCUUAUGAUAAAUAUAAAAAAAUAAAAUAGCCUCCUCGAAUGAUUUGCUUAAUUUUGCAUGUAUCGUCCAAUAGGAUUUAUCACAUAGAAACCAAUAUAGUGAGAAGCCACUGCAGGUGAGUCUAUACAGUUAUGUUUACAAUGGAAAAUAUUCUUACAAUUAAAUGGAAGUUUCACUCCAAGUGAAGCAAUGACGAAUUCAAGAACUCUAAUUGAGCGAGAGAAGAGAAUUUGUAAUAUCUUAGAGGGGACAAAAUACACAUGUUGUGUGGUAUUAUUACUCAAGAAACUAUACAUGCAGGCCCUUCACAUAAAUUUCGCAAAACACAGGAGUUUUAAGGAAGUUUUUCAUAAGAAACUCUACAGAGUUUGGGAUACCUGGAGUGCCAAAACUUGGCACGAAGGGACACUUAAGUGCCAAAACUUUGAAAAUGUACACUUAAGUGCCACUUUCUUUGAAAAAUGGGACACUUAAGUACCACCUCCGGCGAACUUUGCCGGAAAUCCUACGUGGCAAUAUUUUAUUAUUUUUUCUUGUCUACGUGGCUCGCCGGAGAGCUCACUCAGCUGAAACUCACCCAAAACGACGUUGUUUGCAAAAUAAAAAUUAAACUACCAGCUAAAAUAUUCUAAAAAAUAAAAAUGUAUAAAUAAUUAAUACAAAAAUUAAUUAAAUUUAAUUUAAACUUAAAUUUAUUUAAAAUAUUCUAAAAAAUAAAAAAAAUAAAACUAAAAACCUAUAAAUUUAAAAAAAAAUUAAAAAAGGGCAAAGGGGGGCCGAAGGGGCGGCUAAGGGCUGAGCCCUCGCCACCGUUGCCUCCCCGCCGCCGCUGGGAAGGGCCGGUGACAGCGGCUAACCAGCGGCGAGGGCUUGCAAGCCCUUGCCGCCAGUCAAUCGAGGGCCAGCAACCCUAGCGACCCUCCCCCCUCAGGCCCCGGGUCGUCUUGUCCGCGGCCAGGAGGAGGGGGCCGGUUUUUUCGUCACGUAUCCCCACGGCCCAGGCCAAACNNNNNNNNNNNNNNNNNNNNNNNNNNNNNNNNNNNNNNNNNNNNNNNNNNNNNNNNNNNNNNNNNNNNNNNNNNNNNNNNNNNNNNNNNNNNNNNNNNNNNNNNNNNNNNNNNNNNNNNNNNNNNNNNNNNNNNNNNNNNNNNNNNNNNNNNNNNNNNNNNNNNNNNNNNNNNNGGCACUAAAGUGUCCCUCCGUGCCAAGUUUUGGCAGUUGAGCUGUUCUUCUGCCAAACUCUACAUGUAUAAACCACCGCGACCUCAGUCAACUUCAUAAGCAAUACAGAAACACAAUUCCACAUUAAUUACUACAUUGAUUUGGACCAGUAUGUGAAGGAUAUGAGCAACCAUCUGUAUGUUCGAUUAGACAAAUGUACAGGUUCGUCCUUCAACAAAGGAAUGGAAAGAGUACAGGAUGAUUACACUCAUACACCCUGACUACACCUAGAAAGAUUAUGAGAGAAACUCUUUUGAGCAUAAUGCAUUGAAUCCCAAUGCCCAUUAACCUUCUAGCCAAAAAUUACAGCAACCCACCCUUCCUAUGAGAUCAUGAGAAAAAGAUCAUACCUACUUAUAGUUUCAUCAUACCUGUCACGCCCCGAACCCCGAGUACGCGCACAUCCCUCGGUGGUCAAUUAAAAAUGCGACGUCCUAGGACACGUUGCCGAUCCAUUCUUUUUAUCUUUCAAUUUAGCACAUGUGGAAGCGAACUAAAUAAACACCCGGCCAACAAACAAACAUAGGGAUAGUAACAACUCACAACAAAAGUUGACGAAAGCAACUUAUUUAUUUAACCACUGUUGUCCCUAGGAAGUUUAAGGAUUUACAAGUCCUUACACUGGCAACUUCCAACCGACCCUCCCAAAAACCUUCAGGGGCUAAGGCAAUCUAAACUUCACUAGUGAGGACUAGCCAAAGGUGUCGCAUCUCGCGCCCACCACAUCCGCACUCAGCAGAUUUCCACGCUAUGGCCCUAAAAAUAGUUAGCCCACAACAGGAUGAAAUAAAUCUCAACGAGUCAAAACCCUAAACCCCGAUUAGGACGCAAAUUCGCCUCGAAUGCGGUCCUAAUCAUGCAUCAUACAAAGCUCACCUCGCCUCGGCGCAUCCCUGCAUGUUAGCUCAUCACAUAUGCCAUUAUAAAUAUCAUAGGCACAAUUAAUAACCGGUACACAUUAAUCUCAUCCUUUAAACAAUCACAUGGGUCAUGAUUAUAAGGUAAAACUAUUAUGACACGUUCCAUACCGCGCCAUACAAUUUUACCCCAUAAUCAAGCGCAAUAGCACAGCCACUCAGGCGUGUUACGAUUAUUACGACCCAUCGGCCACCGCUAACUCAACAUUCAAUGGUCAUCCAGCAUAACCGAGCAUCGUCCCGCUCCGUCGAGCAUGGCAACAUCUAGAACCCCCACCUAGACGGCAUUCCAUAAAGGAACAUCGAUCGGCCUCCACUGCGACUCGACUUCCGGACCCCCGCCAGGCAUCCGAUAAAAAUCGGGCAUCGUCCCCAAACUUCGGUUGGGUGACGAGUUCCACUUAGUGACCACACGCACACACAUACUUGGCCAAGAGCACCGUGCUUUGCAUUCAAAUACCUCGCUUUCAAAUAAUGAACUUGGCCCCUUUUCUUCGUAUUAAAAAUCUCGGUAAAAUAAUCGUGCGUGGUCACGUACUUAAAUCAAACCAUUAAACAUAGUACGCUCCCAUUCCAAAUUCCACGAUUUCAUAUAGUACAUAAAAAUUGGCGUCAAAAAUCGACACCUAGUAUUUUUCUAUUUAAAAGCCCAUAAAAUUGAGUUUUGUAAUAAUAAUUGACAACUACCACCAAGCACUCAAUUGCUCAUCAUAGCACAUAUAAACAAUCAAAUUCACUUAUAAAUUCACUCACGAGAACAAGCGUAAAAUUAUGAAAAAAUGACUAAUCCGUCACUAAUUACACUAAUUACAAUUAAUUAAACUGAACCACUUAAUUAACCUAACCAUGCAGACACAUCAUCAAUCAAGUCAACUUUAUCUUCCAUCAUAUAGCCAUGAACACCAAAACCCCUUUCUAAAAAAAAUCAACUUAGCAAUCCCUUUUUUUUUGUUCAAACCUCCCGAAAUAAAUUCGUACGGGGUCACGUAUUUGAAAUCAACCCGCCAAACUUUGCACGCAUCUAAUUUGAAACCUCACGGAUCUAUUGAGCACGUAAAACCUCGUGUCCAACCCGACACCUCAUUUUUUUUUUCCAUUUUCUUGCCCAUCCUUCCUUUUUGAAAACAGUUUUUAGUAACCCUUUUUUUUCUUUAAAACUUUUGGAAAGAAAUUCAUAGGUGCUCUCGUACUCAAAAUUAAUCCGUCAAAAUUUGCACGCACCUAGUUUAAAAUCUCAUUGUUUUGUUGAGCAAAUAAUUUUUGGUGUCCCAACCCGACACCUCAUUGUUUUUCUAUUUAAAAGCUUAUAAAGCCAUCUUUUGCAAUAACAAUCGAAGCUAACAUCGAGCAACCAAUAUCAUAACAUCACACAUAAGUUCUUAGCAUGCCAAAAGUCAACCACAUCACAAAAUAUGCAUUAUCUAGCAAGCAAGACACCAAGAACAACCACUAGACCACAACUGGCCCUUACCAGCAUAAACCAGGCCACUCGCGCGUCUCUAAGAUUAAUUUCAGAAACAUAAUCAAAUGAGUUCGGACAAUUCUCAAAUUUGAAUAUGUUAUAUGUUGACACCUAAUUUUAGCAGAUCUAGGAAAAUAAAGAAAAAUAAAAUUGUAUGAGGACAAAUAAAAGGAAAAAAAUGAAAGAAAAUGGGGGAAAUUGAUUUGAUUGAUUAUGCAUGGAAAUUUGAAAUUCUUAUGAGUAUUCGAAUUUUGUUAAAUGCAGAAGCAAUUUAAAAAUCAAGCGAAUAAGGGGCAAGAAUUUUUUAAAUCUGAGCAAGAUCGAGCUGAUUGCGAAAUCAUGCUCCAAUUUACAGAUUUGAUUUAAUAUGAUAGAAGAUGGAAACUCAGAAAAGACCAUACAAAGCGGCCGCCUAGAAUCAUUAUAAAAGAGAGCUACAUUUUUCGUGACUAAGGAGGAUGGGCUAAAAAAAAGAGAGAGAAAAGAAUUCAUGCAAAAAAAAAAAAAAGAAAAAAAGAGAGAAACCUCCCCUUUCCCAUACAAAAAAAAGAGUCAAAAGUCAAAAAAAAAAAAAAACCCUAGCUACUGUUCGUCUUCCUCGGUGGGCUCGUCUCCCGCCGGCAGUGCUUCGUCUUCCCCCCGACUGCGCCAGUACAUGCCUCGUCAGUCACCAUGCCGGCACCGCGACGCCGGGCAUCCCUGCGCCUCACCACCUUGCCACCUCGAUCGCCUCUACCACACUGCGCCACCGUAGAUCGCGACACUGGCGACCCGACGCCUUUUGCCUGUAGCUUCGACGGAUGGCCUCCCCCCCCCCCCGAUCUGAACGCCGAUUCUGCAGCCGCUCGAGUUUGCCGCCCAUGACCUGCAGUGCUCGACGGCCCCUCCGUCUCUACCGCUACCGACGACCCGCUGUCUCCACCCAUUGAUCGAGCGCCAGCCCCUCCGAGCAACAGCACCACAACAACCCUAGCUACUCUACCCCAACACUAGUCCUUGCUACCCAUGGCCAACGCCGUUGCUGCACCCUGUCCUCCCCUACACCAGCGCCGCCCAGCGUCAGCCGCCCGAGGACCUACACCGGCCAUCGUUGUCAUGCCCCGAUCCUCGGGCACGCGCCCAUCCCUCACCUUAGUUGAUUAAAAAUUUGCGAUAUCCCAGGACGUAUCACCGAUCCUUUCAUUUUCAUAUGUACAUGCGGAAGCAAUUAAAAAUCCCCAAACAAUAAAACAUUUGGAUAGAACAAUAAAACUAAAUUUCAAACUCUUAAAAACCUUUACUCUUAUAUACAAGAUGAACUAUUAAAUUUAAUUCACAUUAAGCCAGUUUAAAAACAAGGUCUACAAGCAGAAGUGGGGUUCUACAAGCUACGGGUCCCCAUCCUCCUCUUCAUCAUCCUCUACACUCCAACUGGAGCCUUCAGCAGACUACACCGGACUUUCAAGAUCUUCAAAAUCCAAGUCUACUGUAUCUAGGGAACUAAAAUGGUUAUUCAAUAACCAAUGAGACAAUGUCUAAGCAAUUUCUACCCCCUAAGACCCGAUUAGUAAACCAAUACACUUUAGGGUUGCCUAUACACAACACAAGUUAGAGGACUUACCUUGGCACCAGAUUCCGCCCUGCAUAUUAGCACAGUUCAAAUAGGCACCCAAUCAUAUCAUCAUGGAUCGAUAAUUCGAUCAAUCGACCUAAUCGAUUACAUGUCAAGCAGACCAUUUAUUGGUCGGCCCCUUUCAUACUCUCUGUAAGUCUAAUCCACAUCCAAGACUACUCACCCUAGGUGAUAUAUAGAUAGUAUAUUAUCCUAUCUCCAUAUGACAUAUAGAGACAUCAAGCUAUCAAAUCGUACCGUACUAUCUCAAGAUGAUAUCUAAAAUUAUCGAGCCAGUAUAUCAUACGGUACUAUCUUAAGAUAAUCUGUAGAGUCACCGAGCCGAUAUACACACGAUUUGUCAUACCGUACUGUCUUAAGAUGCUCCGUAGAGACAUCGAGCCGGUAGAUCAUACAAUUUAUCAUACCGUACUGUCUCAAGAUGAUCUAUAGAAUUAUCGAGCCGGUGUAUCAUACCGUACUGUCUCAAGAUAAUCUGUAGAGUAACCAAGCCGGUAGAUCAUACCGUCCUAUCUCAAGAUGCUCCGUAGAGUCAUCGAGCCAAUAUACAUGCCAUUCCAAGCAAACAAUCAAAUAACCAUUUUUAUCCCUUUCGAUAAAAUAGCCAUGUGUGGAGACACGAUCGGCCUUAACCAAAAUAUUAUAAUUUCACUUUUUGAAUAUCUCACCAUUUUCUGUAGUCCACCAAAAUAUUUUUGGCACUGUCAAGCGAUGCUUGGUUAUUUUUCAAUUAAUAACCAAAAUUUAUUCAAUUUAGGAAUAAAUCCUAAAAUCACCAAUAAAUCAAUUUCUCACAAUUUUAAGGCUCGAAUAAAUAAAUGGACUGCACCACCACAAUCAACAUGAAACUCCAGUCACCAGCCAUCCCGGUUGAAUUUCCGGAAAAAUAAAUAAUUAAAUAUAUAACUUCGAAAAUUAAAUAAAUAAAUAUUAAAAAUCCACUUUAGGCUUGUAAUGCCUAAUUGAAAAUCGAUAAGGGUUGAGAAAAAUCCCGAGAUGCAUUCAAUAAAUAUUAGAAGCUCUCUACUCGCUAAUGACUAAGUCUAACCACCUAACAUGCAUCAUUAAGUCACUAAUUUAAUUGUUCUAAACUAAUCUAACCACCUAAUUGCACUUAAUUAAGUCUAAUCAACUCUUAGGCAUAAUUAGCAAACUAAGAAGGCAUUAGUGAGUAAAACUCACUUGGCAAAGCGAAGAUCGGAACACCGCAACGGCGACACGACGGCGGCCGAAUUCCAACUUUUCAACGUCGUGGACAAACACUCGGGCCGGGCCGGGCCAAGAAACUUUGCAAGCCUGCAGAAAUUCUGGGCUUUGGCCUACUGAAAUUCUUGGUUGAGCUUGAUCUGGGCUUUUGAAAUUUUCGUGGGCUGAACAUUGGGCUGGGCUUCGUUGGAUUGGGUUUUAAAUUAACCAAUUUCACUGGCUUGCUGGGCUUGCGGGCUUCAUCUAGGCUGAGCUGCUGGAGGAGAUGGAUUGUUGGGCCCGAGUAAAGAAGCAGCAAGGGCUGCUGGACCUCUCGAAGGCUGCUGGGCCGAGAAGUUGCUGGUGUGGGGUUGGGCUACGGACAAACGAAGGAAACGGUUGGGCUCGCGGGACUAAAACUCUGUUGGAUCGAAUUCAAGCAAUCCGCGGGCGUGAAGGCAGGAGGUGGUCAACAACGGAGCUGCUGGUUGACUGCACACACGGAAGACUCGAGGAACAGCUGAGUGUUGGCCGCGUGGAGGAAGUUGCUGGGUGACGCACGGGCAAAGAGCUGGAGAAAUCGACUUUGCUUCGGCUUGUUGACUCACGCGUGGCAAAGAAAUCCGGUGGACGUUGAAGAUGCUGCAGUGUUGACCGAUGGAUGGAGAUCUCGGUGGACUUGUUUCGUGGCUUCGGUGGAGUGUGGCUUCUGUCGGCAAGGCUUCAUGGAAUUGGGUUGUCUUCGGUGAGUGGGCUUCGUUGGAAUUCUGGGGCUUCCUCAGACGGUGGUAGCUCGGCCAAAAUUGAAGACGCGUGGAUGGCCGAUUGAAAUCGCUGGCGUGGAUCGAAGCUGCUGCAGCGUUGACUGGACUGACUGAAGACUCGAACGCGGCACGGCUGCAACGUGAGGUGUGCUGGCAUGAGUUGAGCGAGGAGAACACCGAGCGGAGCAGCUUCUACCGUGAGUUGCUUCAAUCGGUGGUGUUGGACGAUGCACCAAACCAAAAGAAAAAAAGAAGGGCUUCGGUGCUACUGGACGUGUGGGCGUGGCUGCAUGCGGCUUCGGUGAGGGAGAGUUGGCAACUUCAAUGGAUGUUGCUUGAACGGUGGAGGCAGAAGACACGAAGAUGGGCUGAGCUUCGGUGACGUCGAUUCAAAGGAAAUGAGAAGCAAAAGCAACAAAGAAGGGAGAGAGGGGGUGCUUGGGGUGUUGGAGAAAACUUCCCUAUUUGUUUUGAAGUUGACAAAACGUUUCUAUCAGUCUAGUCUAAAGACUUGCAGACUUUAUCGUCAAAGUCUGAAGACCUCCAAACUCAAGAUUUUAAGUCUGCCCUCAUUAACAAUUUUCAGACCGACGAAGAAAAAGUAUUAUUCGUUGAAUUAGACGAGUAUCUCUUUAAGAAUUUGAUUCGUGUGGUUAAGGAAGAUCUCACGGCUGGAGAUAGCAUCACAAGAUCUAUUAUUCGUAUUGAGAUUAAUUCGAGUAACUUAGAUACGAUUGAUUAGCGAAAUAUACUUGGAAGGUUCUAGUUAUGGAAACAUAGAUCAUGAUUGUAUGAGAAAGCAAGAUUGGUGGGCUAUCAUCACAUUCCUCAAAUAACUCGAGAUCUCCCUAAUUGAUUAUAUCCAACGGGUUGAUUGGAAGAACUCAUUUGAAAGGUGUCAACGGUUAUGAAGGCAUGAAGAAGUAUAUAAGGAAGAUGCUCAAGUUGACCGAGAGUGCUCAAUAGAAAAAUUCCAAAGUCUAAAGCUUAUUGUUCUUUGCGAUCUCAUUUGUUGAGCUUUAUUUGUACUCAAAAGAGAGAUUAGAUAAUUGUGUGACCUUGAGGAAGUGUAGUAGAGUCUCUACAUUGUGGAAUCAAGGACGUGAAACUCUAAAUUCUCUUUUUAUUCUUAGUGGAAUCCAGUCGAUGGGCUAUCAGUGCGGGAGAGUGGACGUAGGCUUGGUCUAAGCCGAACCACUAUAAACCUAGUGUCUUGAUUCUCUAUCCCUAAACUCUUUCCUUUACAUCCCAACUCUUUAUGACAGUUUAUUGUCUUCACGCUUUCAAUUUAUCAAUCUUAGAAACUAAGUUGUUUUGUUAAGAUUCGCAAAAACUUCUUUGAUCACCUAUUCACCCCCUCUAGGUGCUCGUACUAGUCCUAUCAAUUGGUAUCAGAGCUUGUGUACUUAUUUAAUUGAAGUGUUUUUACUUCGGAGUUAAAGAUCUAUGGCUAGUAUGUUGGCUCUAGGUUUGGUUGAAGGCUAGAGCAACACCAGACCUCCUUACUUUGAUGGAAAGGAUUACAGAAUAUGGAAAAACAAGAUGAAAGCAUUCCUAAGAUCGAAAGAUCCCCUAGAAUGGGAUGUAGUAGAAAAAUGAAUCAUUCCUACAAUUGCAUCAAGAUCAGAAAAAGGAAAAGAAGUUGCAGUUCCUAGCGAGAUGACUCAAGAAGAAAUACCAAGAGACAAGCUUUUGAUGCUAAAGCAAUUUACUAUUUAUAUUGUGCAUUAUCUCCUACUGAAUAUAACAGAAUUUCUUCUUGUGAAACAGCUAAAGAAGUCUGGGAUAGGCUGCACAUUACAUACGAAGGAACUGAUCGAGUGAAAGAGACAAGGAUCAAUAUCCUUCUAGGACAAUAUGAAGUCUUCAAAAUGAAACCAAGAGAAUCUAUCACUAAUAUGUUUAGCCGUUUUACUGAAAUUGUGAAUGACUUAGAAUAUCAGGGACAACCAAUCUCAGGACCAAUGAAGGUCAACAAAUUGCUGCGUAGACUCUCCAAAGACUGGAAUCAUAUAAAGACUUCGAUAAGGGAAACACAAAGGAUUGCACCACUUUCUGUAGACGAAUUGGUUGGCACACUUCAGUCUUAUGAAGUGGAACAAAUCAAUGAUGAAGAAGAUCCCAAAGGUAAGAAGUCUAUUUCUUUAAAGUCUAACAAUGAUUCUGAUGUUACAGACUCUGAAGAAGACUUAGAUGAUGAAGAGCUAGCACUUAUGAUAAAGAGGUUCAGAAAACUGAAAAAAAAAAAAAAAAAAAGGAAGAAGAUUCAAUUGGAAGAAAGAAAGUACUCAAAAGUUUCAUAACAAGUCAACUGAGGAUGAUGAAUCCAAUAAAGACGUGAUUUGCUUUGAAUGCAAGAAAAAGGGACACAUCAGACCCAACUGUCAUUUAUUAAAGAAAAAUAAAGGAAAAACUAAGAAAUACAGAAAGGCUCUCAAAGCAGAAACAUGGAGUGAUAUUGAAUGUGAAGAAAGUGAUGAUGAUUAUGCAAACAUUUGCUUAAUGGCAAAAUCGGAAUCAGACUCAGACUCUAAGACAAAUACAGACUCAGACUUAGACAGUGAAAUCAAGGUAAGUAAUUUAAAAAUUCCUACUAAAGUCUCGAAAUAUAUUGAUGAACUUUGUCUUAGCCUCAAAACUUCUCUUAAAAGGAUCUCCGAGUUAAAAAAAAAGGGAGAAUUCUACAUUGACGCAAUAGGAAAAAUCUUGGAAAGAAAAGUUUGAAAAUUUAGACAAAAGUUUUGUUAUUUUGAAAGAAUGCAAACUCUCUUUCAAACGAAAAUACUUUCUUAAAAAAUGACAUUUCAAACAUUCCAAAAAGGUUUUCAAUUGGAUCUAAGAAGUUGGAUAAGAUUCUUUUGAUACGAAGACCCUACUUUAACAAAUUAGGUUUAGGAAUGACCUCUGAAACCAUUCCUCUAAUUGAUUUUCCAAAGGUAAAUGAAAGAAUCAAACAGAGACCUACAAAACUUUUUUAUAAAAAUCAUUUUCAAAAAGUCUUUGUAAAACCUGUUGGCGGAAAUGCUCUCAAAUGUUUGAAGUGUCACAGCUCAAAACACUUUGAGAAAGAAUGUCCUAUGGUUUGGAGACUUGUUAAAAAGGAUUGGGCAAAGACUGUUUAUUGCACUAACUCCACUGAACCCAAGAAAAAUAUGGGUACCAAAGAAAGCUUGAAUUUUCUUUUAAUUGUAGGUCACUAUCAAAAGGAAGAUUAAAUGGUAUUUGGCUAGUGGCUGCUCAGACACAUGACAGGAGAUUCAAGUUGUUUUAUAAAAAUUGUUCAAAUAGAUGGAGAAAAAGUCUCUUUUGGUGGAAAUAGCAAAAGAAAAAUUGUUGGUUGUGGAACAGUAAAGAUUGGAAGUCUAACCAUCAACAAUGUCUCCUUGGUGGAAUGACUGAAUUACAAUCUACUCAGCAUAAGCAAAUUGUCCGACACUGGAUUCAAAAUCAAUUUUUAGGAAGGAACAUGUUCAGGAACUAGUAAAGAUUUCUCUCAAUCUUUUACUAAGCGUAGACAUGGGAAUAUUUAUCUUUUGGAUAUAAAACCAGAAAGAUCGCAAUGCUUGAUAUCAAUACAAGAUGAAGCGAAUCUCUGGCAUCGGAAGCUUGGCCAUAUCAACAUGAAGCAAAUUGCCAAAAUCUCUUCCAAGAAGUUUGUCUGUGGACUACCCAACCUAAAAUACCAAAAAUCUUAUUUAUGCAUACCAUAUGUGUUGGGAAAACAGGUUAAAAGUUCUUUUAAACCAAUAAAUCAAAUUUCCACUAAUCGUGUGCUGCAGCUCCUACAUAUGGAUCUCUUUGGACCAAUUAGAACUCAAAGCAUUGGUGGAAAAAGAUUUUGCCUAGUAAUACUGACUCAUUUUUAACGAAUUACUUAGGUCUACUUUCUUGCAAGUAAGUCUGAAACCUUCUCUCACUUUUUAAAGUUUGCUAAGAAAGUGCAAAAUGAGAAAGGUUAUACUAUUUCAAGCAUACGGACAGACCAUGGAGGUGGGUUUGAAAAUCAAGAUUUUGCUAAAUUUUGUGAUGAAUAUGGUUUUCAGCAUAAGUUCUCCUCUCCAUAUACACCAAAAUAAAAUGGAGUUGUGGAAAAGAAGAAUAGAUCUUUACAAGAAAUGGCAAUAACUUUUUUAAUUAAAAGUAACAUUUCUUCUCGUUUUUGGGCUGAAGCAGUUUCUACAGCAUGUUAUGUUAUUAACAGAGUAUUCUUAAGGCAUAUUCUUGAGAAAACUCUCUAUGAGUUAUUCAAAGGAAAGAAGCCAAUUGUUUUUUUUUUCAAGUGUUUGGUUGCAAAUGUUUUAUCUUGAAAAAUGCAAAUGAUCAAGUUGAUAAGUUUGAAGAAAAAUCAGACGAAAGAAUCUUCCUCGGAUAUUCAACCUCUAGCAAAGCUUACAUAAUAUUCAACAAGAAGACUCAAAUUGUGGUAGAAUCGAUGAAUGUCAAAUUUUUAGACUCUUUGCAAAAUCAAUCAAUUCAGACUCAAACUGAAGAAUCUGAACCUACUCCAGACUUUACAAGGUCUACCUCCCCUGACGCAACUCAGACUCUAGUAGAAAAACAACAAACAUAUGUCAAAGAAUCAACUGAAGAAAAAGAUCAACAAUUUGUCAGACUGACCAGCAAUUGGAAGCAUAAGUCUAGUCAUCCUGAAGAACUCAUUAUUAGUGUUAUUAAUGAAGGGAUUCUUACCAAAUCCAAAAAGCAAGAAGAGUCUAAUGCUGUGGCACUUAUUUCCGAAAUAUAACCCAAAAGCAUAGAAGAAGCAUUAACUGACAAAAGCUGGAUUGAAGCAAUGCAAGAAGAACUCAGGCAAUUAAGCAUUAAUGAUGUUUGGGAAUGAACUCCUAAACCAAAAGGUAAGUCUAUUUAAAUGGGUUUUCAGGAACAAGAUGGACAAAAAAGGAAAAGUGGUAAGGAACAAAACAAGACUCAUGGCCAAAGGAUAUACACAAGAAGAAUGGAUAGACUAUGAUGAGACUUACACUCCUGUAGCAAGGUUAGAAGCAAUUAGAUUAUUACUUACUUUUGCUUGUUAUAAGAAUUUCAGGUUAUUCCAAAUGGACGUCAAAAGUGCAUUCCUAAAUGGAUUUAUUCAAGAAGAAGUCUAUGUGGAACAACCCCCUGGAUUUGAAGAUCCAAAGAAACCAGACUUUGUAUUCAGACUGAAAAAGGCUCUCUAUGGUUUAAAACAAGCACCUCGAGCUUGGUACGAAAGGUUAAGUAAGUUCUUAAUUCAAAAUGGUUUUGUUAAAGGAAAAGUAGACACUACCUUGUUUAUUAAAAGGGAAGGUAAAUACUUCUUACUUGUUCAAAUUUAUGUUGACGACAUUAUAUUUGGAUCAUCUAACGAGAAUCUGUGCAAGAAAUUUUCUAAGUCUAUGCAGGAUGAAUUCGAGAUGAGCAUGAUGGGUGAACUAUCCUUCUUUCUUGAACUACAAGUGAAACAAUUGAGAGAAGGAAUUUUCAUUCAUCAAGAAAAAUAUGCAAAAGAACUUAUUAAAAAAUUUGGAUUGGAGAAUUGCAAAAAGACUGAUAUACCAAUGUUAAGUUCUUCGAAGUUGGACAAAGAUGAAGGAAGAAAGAAAGUUGACCAAAAACUAUACAGGAGUAUCAUUGCUUCACUUCUUUAUCUUACUGCUUCUAGACCUGACAUUUUGUUUAGUGUUUGUAUUUGUGUUAGAUUUAAAUCAGAUCCCAAAGAAUCACAUCUAAGUGCUACGAAAUGCAUCAUCAAAUACGUUGCAAUAACCUCUAAGUUAGGUCUAUGGUAUCCCAAAGAAUGAGACUUUACUCUCCUUAGAUAUUCAGACGCAGAUCUAGCAGGUUGCAGAGUUGAUAGAAAAAGCACAUCCGGCACUUGUCAAUUGCUUGGUAACAAGGCAGUAUCUUGGUUUUCAAUGAAGCAAAGUACUGUAGCUCUUUCAAUAAAAAAAAAAAGCAGAGUAUGUGGCUCUUGGAAGUUGCUGUUCUCAAAUCUUAUGGAUAAAACAACAACUAAGAGACUUUGGAAUCGAAGACUUAUGCACCGAGAUCAAAUGUGACAACACCAGCGCAAUUAAUCUCACAAAGAAUCCUAUUCUUCAUUCGAGAGCAAAGCACAUAGAGAUUCGACACCAUUUUAUUAGAAAUCAUGUUCAAAAUGGAGAAUUCUUGAUCCAAUUCAUUGACUCAAAGAAUCAACUGGCAGACAUAUUCACAAAACAUCUAGAGAAAAGGUUAUUUGAGUCUAUAUGUUCCAGACUUAAUAUCUUAUCUCUUAAAGACUGAUGAAGUUUAGACUCAAGGAUAAAAUCUGAAGAAGCUUAGACUCAUAAAAGAUUAGACUUAGAAGACCAAAAGUUACGAUUGUAAGUUAUUUUGGUUACAGUAUUUUAACUUUUGAAUAAAAAUCUCGAAAAGGUAAGAUUGUUUAUUAAUCGCCAAUUAAUUGAUAUUGAAAAGACAGUUAUCUAUUUUCAAAAAGGUAGUUAUUCAUUUUUGAAAAGGCAUUUUUAUUUUUCCUUUUGUGACAAUUCGUAUACCCUGUUUCAACUGGUUUAUAUAUUGUUCCUCUUCUUCAUUUUUACCCAUAAACCCUAGAGCACAGAUCUUCACUUUCUUACUUUUUCUCUCUAGUUUAAUCCAUAAAGUUUUCAUCUUUCUCGCAAAUCGAGUUCGAAAAUUCUCUCAAAUACUGUGACAAUGUCUUUUCAAAGAAAGUCAUCAAGGAUUGCAAGUAAGGGACCACAACUUAUGCAUGAGGGUCCUACGCACUUCGGUCUGACUAAGGAAGAAGACUCUUCUAGAAAGCAGCAAAGUCAACAACAACAUUCUCAACCGUGCCAUUCUUCUCAGGAUAGAACACAAGAGCAUCAUCAACAACAAGCAGAGGAAGAAAUUAUUGAGGAUGUCGAACCUGUCAAUGGCAAAGGACAAGGGAAAACUUCCUUAUUCUGCUUUCAUUACUCGUUUAUUUAGACAUUUCAACAUUCAGCCUCCCAAAAUUCUGUGUGUUCGAACCAUUGAUCAAAUGGUGAUAGGGAUGAAGAUGGUUACAAAGAUGCGUUUGAAGGAGCUGAACAAGACUUUAGAGAGUUUGAAGGAGAAGACCCAUGUCAAGUCUCGACAAGAGCCUAUGGCUGCAAAAAGGAAAGGCAAGGAGCCCAUGACAGCUCCAUCUAAGAAGAGAAAAGCAAUCAUCUUGCAAGAUGAAGAAGAUGAGAACGACAUUGCUAUCUCCGCUCUUGCCUUAAAGAAUGUAUAGUGUCUUGUUCCAGAAUAUGAAGAUCGAGACAACCAAGACAGAGAGAAGACAGAGAAAAGGAGUGAAGAGAGGGAAAGCAUGAGGAAAGAAGAAGGAGGAAGAAAAGAAGAAAACGAGCAAAGAGGAGAACAAACUGAAGGAGAAAGUCAUGGUGAUUUUCCAGCAGAAGAAGAAGCACAAGAACAUUGUGACAUUGAAGAAGAACCUGAGCAAGAAGAGUACUUCUCUCCACCUGAAGGUACUGAAAUAGGAGGAGUUGCUGAUAAAGGAGGUAUUCCUCUACUUGCUUUUACCAGUGAUGAUGUUAGUCGUUCUCCUGCCGAUCCAGAGGAUGUGUAUGCCUCUCAAUUUCCUAAAUAAGGUAAUGAGGUUUCAUCUCCAAGUCUGGAUGCUCGUGCUGAAGUUCCAUCAUCUGGCUAUACUCCACAAACUGAUCAUGCUGAAGCAAGCACCCGAACUGAUAACUCAGCAGACUUUAAAAGAUUGAUUGAAAUUCUUCUAGAGAUCAAAGUCCAGAUUUAUUCCUUGGGAUGUGAAUUGCAGACCCUGCAGAAUGCUCAUAAAGCCACUUCAGUUUCUAUGCAAGAUCAAGUUCAAGCCUUUAAUCUUCAAAUUCAAGCAAAUGCGAAGGGUAAGGAUCUAGCGCAACUGCAGUAGGAUCUGAGAAAGCUGGAGAAGACUGUCAAGUCUAUGGGAGAUUUUUAGCUCAUUUGCAUUCCCAAAUCAUCUUAAUUUUAUUCUCUUUAUCUUCUCUACCUUUUGAUGUUGACAAAAAGGGGGGGAAGUUGGUGCAGAUUUGAUAUUUGACUAUCUUUUUUUAUUUUUGGUUGAUUUUUUAUUAUGUUUUGACUUAUCUUUUGUUUGGAUGGACUGGUUUUGAUUGCUUUGAUCUUUUAAUGCUUACAAGUGUCUUAAGCUAUGUUGAUGAUUUUGGUAAAGAUAAUUGCUUUUACAGGUCUAACUUAUUUUCUGUGGAUGCAGAAGCACUACUAUCUUUAUCCUAAUCUGCUUAUCUUUUAUGAGAUAUCUUUGUUUGCUUAAGUAUUGUAUUGCAGGUCGAAAGUAUCCAAAUCUGCAAGAAAGUUUUGUCUCCAUAAAAAAAAAGGGGGGGGGGGAGAUUAUUGGAGAAAACUUCCAUAUUUGUUUUGAAGUUGACAAAACGUUUCCAUUAGUCUAGUCUGAAGACUUGCAGACUCUAUCAUCAAAGUCUGAAGACCUCCAGACUCAAGAUUUAAAGUCUGCCCUCAUUGACAGUUUUCAGAUUGACGAAGAAAAAGUAUUAUUCGUUGAAUUAUACGAGUAUAUCUUUAAGAAUUUGAUUCGUGUGGUUAAGGAAGAUCUCACGGCUGGACAUAGCAUCACAAGAUCUAUUAUUCAUAUUGAGAUUAAUUCGAGUAACUUAGAUCAAAUUGAUCAGCGAAGUAUACUUGAAAGGUUCUACUUAUGGAAACCUAGAUCCUGAUUAUAUAGGAGAGCAGGAUUGGUGGAAGAACUCCUUUGGAAGAUGCCAAUGGUUAUGAAGGCAUGGAAGAGUAUAUAAGGAAGACACUCAAGUUGUUCGAGAGUGCUCAAUAGAAAAAUUCCAAAGUCUGAAGCUCAUUGUUCUUUGCGAUUUCAUUUGUUGAGCUCUAUUUGUACUCAAAAGAGAUAUUAGAUAAUUGUGUGACCUUGAGGAAGUGUAGUAGAGUCUCUACACUAUGGAAUCAAGGACGUGAGACUGUAAAUUCUCUUUUGAUUCUUAUUUAGAAUCCAGCCGAUGAACUAUCAGUGCGAGAGAGUGGACAUAGGCUUGGUCUAAGCCGAACCACUAUAAACCUAAUGUCUUGAUUCUCUAUCCCUAAACUCUUUACUUUACAUCGCAUCUCUUUACGACAGUUUAUUGUCUUCACGCUUUCAAUUUAUCAAUCUUAGAAACUAAGUUGUUUUGUUAAGAUUCGCAAAAACUUCUUUAAUCACCUAUUCACCCCACUCUAGGUGCUCGUACUAGCCCUAUCAUAGGGGAGUCAACCAGCUUGCAAGAGAAGACAAGGGGAAUAAAAUCCACACUUUUCCCAACCAUUUAAGUGUUUGUCCCCUCUAAAGCCCACAUCAUUAUCUUAAUGUCUCCCAAUUACUUUCCAUCAAGAAAUUUCCCACAAAUUGUCCAAAUGGAAGCCAAAAUUCAAGCUCCUAAUUUGGCAUCCGAAUUUCAUUACUUUGGGCUUCAAUUCCUCACCAAAAUUCCCAAUUUAAUGUCCCACUUCGUCGAAGAAAUUGCCCAUACCAUUUUCAGCAAGUUCUCGACACCCAAGAGCUCGAUAAAGAGGCCAAAAUUCCAAUCAACUUGGCCGAUCCAAUUUUCCACUAAUUUCCGCAACGUCCGAAUCCAUUUCCCGUUAAAAUCUCGGAAUCUCUAAAAAAAAAAAAAAAACUUUCUAAGACUGAGUCGACGUCCUAGAAUUUAUUGUGACAUAACAGAAUCUUCAAUUUCUGAAAUCGGACUUGAAUUCACAAUUAAUUUCACUUGGCGCGUUUUUAGCGUGACCUGGAUUACUGGGUAACUUUCAAAAAAUUUUAAUGCAAAUGACCCGUGGUCGAUUUUCUUCGAGCCACUAUGAACCCACUCGACUCAUUAGCGACUCUCAAUUAUCGUGACAAUCUCGAUGAUUCAAAUAUGGACACAGGGUACCAAAAUAAUAAGAAAAUCAGUUUAGUGCCGAUCGACAAGAAUUUUCUAAUUUAGUGGUGUCACCCACGAUUGGCCACACAACUCUGUCGAACCGACCUAUCUUUGAUCUCUAAUCGAUUUUAUACCAUGCCGCAAUGGCCUCUAAAGAUGGACACGGUCGAGAAGCCGAUUACUAGUCAAAUUCUUAAGUCUAUUUGCCUUAAAAUCCUUUUGGUUUCCCCAGAUAACCUAGUUAUCUCGAGAGUGAUCAACUCUGAGAAUAGCCCUAUAGGCGCGUUAAUGAAAUGCCCGAUUCAUUCAGUAGAAGACAGGGUUGAAAAAUCUGGAUGUCACAAUCGUGACCUGCUGCUGCCUAGCACUUUACCUGUCUCCGAUGACCGCUCGAACCAGACCGCAAGCACCCUCGCCCACGCUCUACCUAUCCCUAACGACCGUGCCUGCAGCCAGCGACGCCGCCACCCCCGCUCUCCACGCCGCCGUGCUCCACCAGAUCCCGUCAGAACUUCGACAACCGGUCAACUACCGCCCGACACCACCCACCGUUGUUUCCCCUAGUUAGUUUUUAUUUUUAUUUUUAUUUUUACUUUUACUUUUCAUUUUUUUAGUUUAAUAUUUUUUAUGUUAUUUUUCUACCUAUUUUAUCUUAUAGCAUUUUUUUAGUUUAGUUAUUUAAGUUGUACUAUUGAAUGUUAAUCUUCAUAAAUUUUGUAGGCAUUAUCCGCAGGGAUUUUUUCCGGAAUUAUUGUAAUUAUUCAUUUAAUCCGUAAGAUUUCGGAUCAGAUUUUUAAUAAUUUUAAACUCUUUGUUGUGAUAAUUAGGGUUAGGAUAAUCGUUAAUUUGACCUGUAAGACAACAGGUUAUUUUUUCGAUUAUUUUAAGCUUUUGUUUUAUUGAUAGUUUAGAUUUAAUAUUUAUUUAAUAAUUACUUAUCUAAAAAAGUUUAAAAAAUCAAAAAAUCAAAAUCAAAAUUCAGCAUGAGCACAUAGGCUUAGUAAAUUAAUUUUUUUUUAGGAUUACAUUUUUAGGAUUACAUUUUUAGAAAUAAGUUAGGGUUGGACCUAAAUAACUUUUUUAAAAUAAGGUUUUAGAUCAUGUUGGCACAUUUUAAAUCUCUUUUUUCCAAAAAAUUGUUUUCUAAGAUAGCAUAGGGUUUAAGUCAAAUUAAUCCAUAGAAUAAAUUAGAAAAUUAUCCCUUUUUAGAUAGUUUAAUUAGGGUUUUUAUUAAUUCCAAAUUUCAAUAAAAAAAUACAAAAAUACUAGGUGCAUAAUAGGAUCAUUUAAUCAGAAUUUGUUCAUUAGUGAAAUUAGGUCAUGAGGUGCAUAAUAACUAGUUUGCAUAAUACACCCAUUUAAUUAGAAUUUGAAUAUUAAUAAGAUUAAGUCAUUUAGUUAAAAAAAAUGCAUUUUUAUAAAAGAAUUCUAUUUUUUAAAGAAAACCCAAAAAAAAAAUUAAUUGCUUGCUUUGUGUGAUGCAAUUCUUUAUUUAUUUUUAUUUGAAUGUUUAAUAGUGGAUAAGCAUGUGUGUGGUCACCAUAUUUGCAUGAUAGCAAUUUAGACUAAAAUAAAUCCAAGCAGCCAGCAAAAACAUUUUUUAAAAUAAAAGAAUGGUACCGAAAGGGCAUUAGAAAAAUCUAGUGUAACCAAGUCCUCGUACCUAUAGUCUCUGGUUCGUAGGAGAAAAAUAAUUCACCAAUUAUUUUACUUAGGUGUCUAAUUGACCUACCAUAAACAGAUUAGUGGCGGCUCCUAGUUAAUAAUCUUUUGCAUGAUGAAUAUUUAAACAUUAAGUCGCGAAUUGGUAUGGGCUUGGGAGAACCUGAGCUAAGUUUACAGACUUAGUAAUCCAUUAACCUAACUUUACGUGGUGCACCCGAAAUUUAGGUCGCAACAUUAUAAAGGAUACUUAAAUGAACACUUUUCAUGCAAACACAUUGACCCAGAUCUUUCUAGAAUAAGAGCAGUAAAUCGCCCAAACUGUUACCAAAACUAUGUCCGUGUCCAGAAAUUACAUUUUCCAAAACCAGAUUGGUUCGAGGUCCAAAACUUGUCUAGUUUGAUCUGAAAUUUGACUAUGUUAAACUAUAAAAUGUAAUGAAAAACCUUGUGAAUGAACUCUUCCAAAAAUUGACUCCUAAGAGUUGAUAAAAGUCCUUUGAACACCAAAAGGUCAUAAGUUCCAACACUAACCUGAGAUUCUAUUUUGCAAAUGACGAGUCUGAAAUCUUAUUCUUUUAAAUCCCUAAAGUCUUGAGUAAAAUAUAUGUCAUAUAUGAAGAUGUCUAGAACAUUUUUCAAGAAUAAGGUAACCUCAAAAUCGUAGCACAUUUCCAUCCACGAAAAUAGCAAAUGGCGAGGGUCCAGUAAACUGAUUCGAAGAGAAAUCUUCUAAACAAAGCUAAACCACCCUCAUUAGUACUAAUCUAACAAAAUAUAUUACUACUAAUACAUCUUAAGCCUAAUCUAACCAAACUAGAUUAACACUAAUUGUGACAGCCUGAAUUUUAAGAUUUCGUUUUCGAUUAAAUAAAUCGGGCCUUUCGCCGACGCACCAAUAGUGUUAUUCUCUAAGCUUAUCACUCACGAGAUAACUGGUCUCUCUGAGGAAGCAAUUAACGAAUCUAAAUGCAAUAGACUUGAGAAUUCGACCAAUAAUCGACUGCUCAACUGUGUUAGUCUGCAAGGGUCAUUACGGCACUAUCAGAAAUCGAUCAGAGACCGGAGAUAGGUUGAUUUAACUAAGAUAUGUGAUCAGAGUGUGAGUGAUUCCACCUAAUUGUAAAAUAUUCUUUGAUCGGCAUUAGACCAAUUUUUCUGUCGUUUUGGUACCCGAUGCCCGUAAUUGAAACUUCGAGAUUUUCACGACAAAAUGUGGUUGGAUCAGUUAGAUCAAUAGGUCCAGAGGUAUGUGAAGGCCAAGAUCGCCCGACUUCUCCCACUAUUAGAGAUCAACAUCCACUCUAGUGUGAUACAGGCGCUCCCUCACUUCUAGUGUCCACAAACUUCUACCUUCAUAUUUGGUGAGUACGAGCUAACUCCAACAUUAGAAGAGUAUAGUAUUGCCAUUAGAAUGCCCCUAGAAAAGGAACUUGUUAGACCGCCUAUCGGUAUAGAUUCUAUUUCUGAAUUAUCUCGGUUUUUAGAAAUCGAACCUGAAAAAAUAAGAAAAGUUGUCAAAGCCAAUUGUUUUGCAUGUCCAUUUUCCUCUUUGGAAGAAUUUUUUGCAAAUCAAUCACUGUUUUCAAAAGCUAAGAUUUUCAUGUUGGCAUUUUUCGGAUUAAUCGUUUUUCCUUAUCAAAGAAAUGCCAUUAAUCCUUCAAUUUCAUGGGUGGUUAAUCGUGUUUGUGACGGGUUAAAUUAUGUCAAUAUGGUUUUAACUAAAACAUUUUUGUCAUUAAACCAUUUCAAACAAAAUGAAGGACUAUGCGUGCCCUCCCUGAACUUUUGCAAAUAUGGUUUUUCUCACACAUAAGAGGUUUUGGGAAUCUUAUGAAACAAUUCAAAAUUGAUGAUCUGAGGCACCCCAUACAAAAAUUUGCAAUUUUGGAACGUUUUUCUCCAAAUAAACAGUAUGCCUAUUGAAUUAAUUUUUUAAAAAAUCCUAAUCCUAAGGCAUUCUUACAGCAUACUAAAUGGCUACAUGUUGAGGAGGCUCGUCUCUCUCACAAGUAUGAUGGGCCGAUCCCGUUGCUUGGCCUUUCUUGUGCUACCUCCUACUACCCAUAUAGGGUGGCCCGUCAGUACAGAGUUCUUCAAGAAGUUCCUCCACCCCUCAAGACGGAAUUGUUCCAAGUUCGUUUUGUUCAUACGGACUAUGACUACUUCAACGAGAUCUAGAUGAUCAUUGCUGCACGGAAUGAAUGCCAUCUAGAGAAGAUUUUGGUGCCCAAGAGACUGAAAGGAGAGGAGGAGAUCCACCAUGCGUCGACAUUCUACAUCCAACAACACCGGAUUCCUGCCGCCUUACGUCCAGUGAUCCUUGAUGUGACUGAGAAGCCAACUCAAAGAGCACAAAUUGAGCAUCUUAAACAGAAAGUGAAAAUGAUUGAAGCUGAAAAUAAGAAGCUUCACAAAGCAUUGGAAUCUCGAAAGCAUAUAAAAUGAGAUGUUUUCAAUGUUUUUAAUUUUUAGUUCAAUGGUUUUAAUUUUUAGUUCAAUGUUUAGGGACUUGAAUUUCAAUUCUUAGUUCAUUAUUUGGUUCAAUGUUUCGAGUGAAUUUUGAAUAAAAUCAGGCAAUUAGACCAUUGUCAUGGGCCAUUUUCCUUUAUUGUCAUUGGUUCUUACAUUACUUCUUUUCCUAGGUGACAACGGAUCUACCGUGCUCACCUAUUAUUACGCAUUCAAGGGCUAAAAUGGCUUACCAAAACGAGAUGCGCGAUCGCAUGUCCUCCAUGGAAGAGCAACUCCAACAGCUAACUAUCUCUAUGCAACUUAUAACAACUCAACUCCAAUCCCUCCGGGUGAAUCCAAAUCCUGCACCUGCUCUCCCCGAAAUAGUAGCCUCGAAGCCGGCAAAUAGGGCCCAAAUGAGUGAUGACAAAAUGCCCGAGUUGGAAGAUGACCCGGUCUUUGUUGGAAAGGCCAAACCUAGUAGCGUUCCAAGACAGAUCAUGAUGAGCGUGUUGCAAAGCUGGAAGAGAAAGUGAGACGGCUGCAGGAGUCUCCAAGCUCACUCUCGUUUGACCUCUCGGUCUAUGAGAAGGUCAAAAUGCCGAGCAAGUUCAAAAUGCCGGAGUUCAAGAAGUACAAUGGUACAUCUUGCCCAAAAUCUCAUUUGCAGAUGUACCACUUACGCAUGGCCCAACACGUUAAAAAUGAGCCCCUCAAGAUCCAACCGUUUCAUGUGAGUUUGACCAAGCCCGCACUGAACCGGUACGUGAUGAAGAACGUGAACCUCCUCGAAACCUAGAACGAAGUGGCAGACGCGUUCCUCAAAUAGUACAAGUUCAACAUGGACAUCGCACCUUCCCGAGAAGACCUAGAGCGGAUGGAAAAGAAAAAGAGCGAGUCAUUUAAAAAGUAUGAUGUGAGAUGGAGAAACCCGGCGGCUCAAAUCACUCCUGAGCCUACCAACAAGAAGUUGAUGAAGUUGUUCAUGAAGACCCUUCCAUCUGAGUUCCGUAACCGAAUGGCUAGUACGUAUGUCGAGAGCUUCAAUCAACUUAUUACUGUAGGAGAACAGAUCGAGAUAGGGAUAAGGAAAGGAUGGUUUGCUGAGCCAUCUAAUAAAAGAUUCUCUAUCGAGAAAGAGAAAGAAGCGGCCGUGGAUGUGAAUAUGGCUUAUAGCCAAGAAAGUGCUAAACGUGCCCCGACUAUCCAAGUGAAUCCAAUACAACAACAACCCGCUGGCCGUCAAUCAUUCACCCAAACGAAUAAUAGAAGGCAUUUCUCCCCUCUCCCUGGGUCUCCAUCCCAAGUGUUGACAGUCCUCCAAAAGAAGGGUUUGCUUACUAGUGAACCGAACCGCCCUAACCGCGAAGGCAUUCGUGCUUAUGACCCGACGAAGAAGUGUGACUACCAUAAUGGUGAACUGGGGCAUUCAACUGAUUAAUGUUUCACCCUCUAGCACAAGAUCCAAAAUCUCUUGGAUGCGAAGGCCUUCUCAUUUCAAACUGCUCGGCCAAACGUCUAGAAAAAUCCGCUACCGAAGCAUGAGGGUACAGUGAAUGCUAUCCUAGAACCUGAAGUCGGUCGAAUCAAGAACUCGAAGAUGCACGUGGUAGAUGCCUACAAUGGACUAGUGAGAGCUGGAUAUUAUCCAGAUCAUGAAGAUGUCCCCCUACCAUUGAUGAGGGAAAGAGUUGCUAGAAUGGUGGAUGACAGCAUCAUCGUGUAUGCCGACCGUAAUUGCAUAGUUUUCACUAUUUCCCACCUCAUCAUUGAUUGGGAGGAGGAGCAAGCUGCACUUGAUGCUGAUAAAGAAGUGGUUGAUCAUUUGCUUGUGGACAUGCCCCCCAAUAAAGGAUGCAUCUGACGAGGAGAUAGUAAUAGAGGUGUCUUAGCCGUAUGAGUAUGUCAACAAUAAGCAAUACCUUAGUCCUAUGACCUAGAUGUUGACCUCGUUACGAGGUCUCGUCAGACCUAUGAUCAAGCCAGUGCUCAACCUACAAAGCCGGUCACUAAUGAAGAGGCUAAGCAGUUUCUAGCUGUAAUCAAAGCGAGCGAGUAUAACGUGGUUGACCAAUUGCGAAAGAUGCCCGCUCAAAUCUCCUCACUCGAGCUCUUGCUAACAUCCCCCGUGCAUCAGAAGUCGCUAAUGAAGGUGCUGAGUGAAAUUCGUGUGCCAGAGAUGGUUGAGGCGGACAAACUGGAAGGAUUUGUGGGAUUGGUCCUUCUCAAGGAUUUGAUUGCCUUUUCUGAUGAGGAAUUCCCUCUUGAGAGCCUGGCACAUAACAAAGCACUCUACAUAUCUGUCAAGCACAAGUCUUCUCAUGUGUCCCGAGUGCUCAUCGAUAAUGGGUCCGCUCUGAACAUAUGUCCGUUGGCCACUCUUCACCGCCUCAAGGUAGACCCGUCGAGGAUACAUGCUGCGAAGACCUCGGUACGAGCUUUUGAUGGAACAAAAAAGGAGGUGAUUGGAGAAAUCCAUCUCGACGUACAAAUAGGGCCGGUCGUCUUCAACAUUCCCUUCCAAGUGCUGGACAUCCCCACCGCAUUCAAUUUCCUUCUAAGUCGUCCCUGGAUAUACACUACUAAAGUAAUACCUUCAAGUCUACAUCAAGCUGUGAAAUUUGUGACUGAAACGAAGCUAGUCACUGUGUAUGUUGAGGAAGACCACCAGAUCUAUCAUGAGACGGUUAUCCCCUAUGUAGAGCCGGAGUUUGAGUUUGAAUCAAGUUAUCACUCAUUUGAGUUGGUGUCCACCAUACACGCUUCUCGAGGUUCAUCACCGCCCACUCCUGAAGUUUCAGAUGCUGCCCUCAUGGUGGGAAAAGUAAUGGUUGGAAAUGGCUUUGUUCCUGGCAAUGGUCUCGGAAGAAAUGGUCAGGGCACUCGAAGCCCCAUCAAAGCCCCUCAGAGGUCCUGUUCUGUUGGUUUAGGGUACCAUGGAAGGGGGGAAGUUUUGAAGGACGAACACAGGAAAUGCAAAACUCACCACUUGACCAAGGGCGAGGGAGGCAAAACCCAUUACCCCUGAGCAUUCACGAGACAUUCCUCGGUCCUCCAAGAAUGAUGCAGGAUGAAGCGGAAGUGAUAGAUACUCUGGGGCAACCUAGUGGCAAGUUUGAUUACCUGGUGAAGUAUUCGGCCCCUCCCAGUUACUACAUUGAUCCUCGUGAGAUAGUCCCAGAUGGAUGGGGUGGCAUGGAUGAUCCGACACCCCCGAAGAUGGAGAACCCUAAUGAUGAGCUAGAAUGAAAUGCAAGCUUAUUCGACGACCUCAUCAUAGCAGCCAUUGAUGAAGGACCCCCUGAAGAGAUGGGCAUUGGCCCACAAGAGUAACUCUUUUUCCUAUUUUUGCACAUUCCCCUGCGUGGGAAUUUUUAUUGUUUUCUAAGAGAUGUUUUCAGUUUCCUUGUCUUUUCAUUCUUGAGUGUUGCAUUUUUCCAUUUAAUAAAUGUAAUUGAUUGAUGAAUUUCAAUAAAAUUACAAGUUUUAUUGUAAGGGCAUGAUGAAGUACACCAAACCAGCCCGGUGAUGAUAUCUAGCCGAUAAAAGAAAAGAAAAAUCCAAGGAGAAUUCUGAGGCCUAGGCUUCAUCAAAAAAGUAUUUUUGCUAAAGAAUUUCAAAGAAGAAGAAAAAUAACAAAAACAAAAAAAAACAUGUAGAUUACUCUGUUUGUCUUUCUGAUUUAUCUACUUCAUGUUUCAGGAACAAUCUUAUUGUGACAUCCUGAAAUUCGACCAUGUUUUCGAUAAAGUGAAAUGGGCAUUUCGUCGACGUGCCUAUGGCCCUUUUUCUCUAAGCUAAUCACUCACGAGUUAACUAACCUAUUGGGUGAAGCCGUUAAGGGAUGUAUCUGCAGUAAAAUCCCUAAAAGCUACCUAAUUAGUUGGAUUGGGCUAAAAUCACGUCUGAUCGAUUUUUAACCACGAAAUUGAACUCGAUUUCGGGAAUCGAAUUUUAAGCACGUCAUAAUUCUUUUUUUUUAUAACAUUGUCUCAUCGCUCGUCAAUUUAUUGACGAGUCCGAAAUUUCAAGAAAGAAAUUAUCAGAAGAAAAAAAUUGAAGACCGAAAGGAAAUAGAAAGGGAAAGAGAAAAGAAAUAAAAUAAGAAUAAUUGUAUGAAUUGAUUUUUAUUUUUCUCUCUCCCUCUCUCUUCCUUUUUUUUUCUCUCUCUCUCUCCCUCCUCUUUUCUUUUUCUCUCUCUCUUUCUCUCCCCCUCCCCCUCGUGCGAUUUUUCCCCCCACCGACUCACUUUUCUCCCUCCUUAUCUCCUCUUAUCUCCUCUUCCUUAUCUCUUCCCUCUCUCUCCUCUCUCCUUUUCUCUCGACUCUUUCUCCCUCCUUCCCCUGUUUGCUCGACAUUGAACGGAACCAGAGCAGGAGCAGCAGCUCGCCGAAGCCGCCGCUCGCUACCCGUCCCAAACCCGCGACGCCCGCCCGCGCACGCCGUGCCCUCCACCCCGCGUCCGUCGCCACUGCCGCUCCUCCCCCGUGCGAAUCAAGCCCUGCUCCGCCCCUACCCAACCAGACCAGCCGCCUCCGGCCACCACCCAGCUCUACCCGGCCACCGUUCGGACCCGCCGGAGCUUCCCUUGCCCUCCGCCUGCCUCCCCUCGUCGCCCUAACCGCCGGACAAGCUCCGGCCAGCAUUGAUCAGCAACCCACGAGUGGGUUUCCAGCCCCUUUCGGGCUCGUUUUGGGCCGUUUCCGAGCCCCGAACCCGAGGCCCGCUUUGGAGUUUGUUGUUCCUCGCGUCGCCCCCGUCAGAUUGAUCCAAUUUGCGCGCGAUUUGGUGAGUAAUCUCACUAAUCCAUUAUUAGUUGGCUAAUUAUGCUUAAGUUUGGUUUAUUUUUAAUUAAUUAGGUUUGUGAUGCGAAUUAGACCAAUUGAUUGUGCAAUUAGCAAGUAGACAUGGUCUACUAUUUAUUGAGGGUAGCCCGGGAUUUUUCCAGACCCUAAUCGGGCUUCAAUUAGGCUUUUCGGGCCUAAGUGGCAUUUUUAGUAUUUAAAUAUUAAUUUUCGGAAUUAAAUUAAAUAAUUAUUUAUUUUCCGAAAAUUUGACUGGGAUGGCCCGGGACCGGAAUUUUAUGCUGAUGACUGUGGUGAAGUCCAUUUAUUUAAUUGGGCUUUAUUUUGUGCUAAAUUGAAUUUUUAAUAUUUAUUAAUUAAUUUUCGAAAUUAAUUAAUUAUUUAUUUAUUUAUUUUUCGGAAAUUAAGAUUUUGAUGGCCGACGACCGAAAUCUCGUGCUGAUCAUCGUGGGGCAGUCCGUUUAUUUAUUUGAGCUCCACGUUGCAUGGAAUUAAAUAAAUUGUGAUAUUUUAGGGAUUUACCCUAAAUUGAUUGGAAUUGAUUGAGAUUGAAUUGUUGAUUGGUAAAUGGCCAAGUAUGUUAUUCAGCAUUUAUAAUGCUUUGUUGAGUUGAUUUAAUUAUUUGAUUGAGAAAUCGUUGGGCAUUGGUUGUCGGUAUUGAAAGUAGAUUGGUAAUCACUUGAAAGAAUGCACGUGGGCUCGGUGAAUUGGAAUAUCACCUGGAGAAUGCACGUGAAUUCAGUGGUUGAGUAUGUCAUCUUGGCAAAGAGGUCGCCUUAGAGAAUGCAUGUGGCUUGGAGACUCGGUAUGUCCUCCUGGAGAAUGCACGUGGCUCGGUGACAGAGUUUGGCAUCUAAAAGGGCACGUGGCUCGGUGAAUUGAUGCAUCACUUUGGUGAGAUAGCACCUAAGAGAAGGCACGUGGGCCCGGGCAUCGUAAAAAGGACACGUGGCUCGGUGAUUUGAUGCGUCACUUUGGUAAGCGAGUACCUUAGAGAAUGCACGUGGGUCCAGUGUUUGAGAACGGCAUCUAAAAGGACACGUGGCUCAGUGAUCUUAUGCGUCACUUUGGUAAGCGAGUACCUUAGAGAAUGCACGUGGGUCCAGUGUUUGAGAACGGCAUCUAAAAGGACACGUGGCUUGGUGAUCUGAUGCGUCACUUUGGUGAACUAGUGCCUUAGAGAAUGCACGUGGGUCCAGUAUUCGGAAAUAGCAUCUAAAAGGGCACGUGGCUCGGUGACUGGAUGUACCACAUUGGCGAAGAGGUCGCCUUAGAGAACGCACGUGGGCCCAAGGUUCAAGGCACGUGGCUCGGAGACUUGGAAUGUCGUCCUAGAGAAUGCACGUAGCCUAGCUUUUAGAUACUCCUCCGUGGAGAAUGAUUUAUGUGACAUGUAAUCGACUAGUUCGAUUUGUUUUGAGUAAAUCGGUGCCUAUUGUGAAUUGUACUGACUUGCACGUGGGAUCUAAGGCCAAGGUAAGUCAUCUGCCCUGUGCGUGUUUAGGCAGCCUGUAGUAUAAUGGUUUACUAAUCGAGCCUUAGUGGGGUAGAACUCGCUAAGACGUAGUCUCAUCCUGGUUUGGGGAAAUCAUUUCAGGACCCCGCUGAGGAGCUGAGGAGGAGGAGGAGUCUGAGAAGGAUUUUUGGAAGAAGAAGAUAAUCCCGAGAGGGGCCUUGAGUACAGCCCAGAUGGACUGAGAUUCUAUCUUCUUUUGAGAUCUCCAUUUUGAUGUGAAUAGAGUUUAGAGUAAAAAGUUGUGAAGUGCUCUGGUUUGUGUUUUGUAUAAAAGUUUGGUUAUAAGUUUCAAUAUGAAAAAUAUGGCCCUGCUUUUCUAUCCCAUCGAUUUAUUGUCUGGGGAUUAUAACUGCUUCCGUGUGUGCUUAAUAAAUGAAAGGGUCGGCGAUACAUAGUCCUAGGAUAUCGCAUUAUAAAAUCGACCAAACGAGAAGGAUGUAUGCGUGCCCGAGGAUCGGGGCGUGACACUUAUAGCAUGCAAAUGUGUGAAAAUGGUCCAAUCCAAUACAACAAGUGCUGAUAAUAAUGAUCCUAAAGACUCGAUCGAAGACUCCAUUGAGGUGCAACGUAGCUGGGAACAACAUGAAAAAGCUAAGGCUUUCACAUCCGAGCAGACUGUCACUAUUAAUUUAAGUGACAUUGAAAAAACCAAAGAGGUAAAAAUUGGGGCAAGUCUCCCAAAAGAUGAGGCUGAGCGCCUAGUUCAGUUACUGAAGGAAUAUCAAGACAUCUUUGCAUGGACCUAAGCUAACAUGCCCGAGCUAGACCUGUCAAUUGUGGAGCAUUGCCUACCUACUAAUCCGAACGUGCCACCUAAGAAGCAAAAGCUGGGGAGAACUAAACCCGAACUCUCAAAUAAGAUAGAGGAAGAGGUGAUGAAGCUUUUAAAGGUGGGAUUCAUCGAAGUCUCACAAUACCCCGAAUGGGUGGCUAAUAUCAUGCCGAUGAUGAAAAAGGACGGUCGAGUUCGAGUUUGUGUUGACUAUUGGGAUCUGAACAAGGCUAGUCCAAAGGAUGAUUUCCCGAUACCACACAUAGAUGUCCUUGUGGAUAGUACCGCUGGUUUUGAACUAUUUUCAUUUAUGGACGGUUUUUCCGAGUACAAUUAGAUAAGGAUGAAGGAGGAAGACAAGGAGAAGACUGCAUUUGUAACCCCGUGGGGAACCUUUCAUUAUAAGGUCAUGCCCUUCGGACUCAAGAAUGCAAGGGUGACCUAUCAGUGAGCCAUGAUAGCAUUAUUUCAUGACAUGAUGCACCAGGAGAUAGAGGUCCAUGUUGAUGAUAUGAUUGCAAAGAACCAACCAGGAAAAAGCCAUGUGGAAACCCUGAAGAAGUUUUUUGAUCGACUUCAUGAAUUCAAGUUUCGGCUAAAUCCCGCUAAAUGCAUAUUUGGAGCAACAUCCGGUAAAUUACUCAAAUUUAUUUUGAGCAGUAAAGAGAUUGAGAUCGACCCAUCCAAGGCUAAGACCAUAUGCAAGUUGCAACCUCCGUCAAUGGUAAAAGAAGUCCGGAGCCUUUUAGGAAGACUGAAUUACAUAGCUCGAUUCAUUUCCUAACUCUCUGAAACUACCAAGCCAUUCUUCAAGCUCCUAAAGAAGAAUGCACGACUUAACUGGGAUGAUGAGUGUCGAGAAGCAUUCGACAAGCUAAAGCAAUACCUAAUGAAUCCACCAAUUCUUGUCCCCCCAUCACCGGGGCAUCCUUUGAUUCACUACCUCACCAUCCAUAGUGAAUCGUUAGGUGCAAUGUUGGCUCAAGAAAGUCUUUUUGAUAAAAAAAGAACGAGUCAUUUAUUAUCUGAGUAAGAAGUUCACUGUAUCAGAACUGAAGUAUCUUGAUGUUGAAAAGACUUGUGCGGCUUUGGUGUGGGUAUUGCAAAGAUUGCAGCAAUACACACUACAUUACCAGACAUUCCUCAUGAUUGAGAACGACCCCAUCAAGUACUUACUUGAUCGACCAGCUUUGGUGGGUAAGUUGGCCAAAUGGCAAAUUUUAAUCUCUGAAUUUGAUGUACAAUUCACGCCACAAAAGCCAGUUAAGGGUAGAGCGAUCUCUGAUCUAUUGGCUGAGAAUUCAAGAGUCUCAAAUGGUGAUGACAGUUUCUUGGAUGACCAUGUCUUGAGUGUAAAUGAAGACUCAUGGAAGAUGUUCUUUGAUGGAGCUCUAAACCUAUCUGGUUCGGAAACUAGGGCAAUUAUGAUAUCUCCAGAUGGACAACACCAUUCGAUAGCUGCAAAAUUGAUAUUUAUGUGCACUAACAAUGUGGCCGAGUAUGAAGCUUGCAUCCUCGGGCUUCAGGCUGCAAUUGAGAUAGGUGUGGCCAACUUAAAAGUGUUCGAAGAUUCCACACUAAUCAUAAUGCAAACCGUAGGUGAAUGGAAGACCAAGGAGGCCAAGUUGCUCCUAUACCACAAGUAUUUAAAAGAUUUGGUGAAAAAAUUUGAGGUUUCGUUUGAAUACUUGCCGAGGUCUCAUAAUCAAUUUGCAGAUACACUUGCGACAUAGUCUUCUAUGCUGCAAGUCACCGAUGGGUUAGAGGUCGAACCUUUGAAAAUAGAGGUUUUACCGAAGCCAGCUUAUUGUAUGAUUGUGACUGAAGAACCUAAUGGAAAACCAUGGUAUUAUGAUAUCAUGAAUUACAUUCAGAAACAAGAAUUUCCUGAAGGAAGCACUCAGGCUGAUAGGAAGUACAUCACGAAGAUGGCCUUGAAAUUUUUCAUCAGUGGGGAGAAUUUGUCCAAGAGAUCUUACGAUUCGGUCUUGUUGCGGUGUGUAGAUGCAGCCGAAGCCACUCAAAUCAUGCAAGAAGUGCACGAAGGAGUAUGUGGCCCUCAUAUGAAUGGACACAUGUUAGCCAAGAAGAUUAUGAGAUUAGGCUAUUACUGGCUCACACUAGAAAGUGACUGUAUCCAACAUGUUCGAAGUUGUCACCGUUGCCAGAUUCAUAGGAAUAAGAUAAAUGUUCCUCCAACUGAACUGCACCAGUUUUCCGAACCAUGGUCUUUCUCGAUGUGGGGCAUUGAUGUGAUUGGCCCAAUCAAUCCCAAGGCUUCAAAUGGGCAUCGAUUCAUCUUGGUGGCGAUAGACUAUUUCUCCAAAUGGAUCGAAGCUACAUCCUUUCCAAGUGUCAUUGCUCGCAAUGUUGCGAAGUUCGUCAAACGAGAUAUAAUUGCUCGUUAUGGCAUCCUUGAAGCAAUCAUCACUGAUAAUGGGACAAAUUUGAACAACAAACUUGUUGAUGGGUUGUUUAGCGAGUUCAAGAUCAAGCAUUUGAAUUCGUCUCCUUAUCGCCUUCAAAUGAACGGGGCUAUUGAAGCGGCCAAUAAGAACAUUAAAAAGAUCUUGGCUAAGACAGCCGAGAAUUAUCGAGAUUGGCAUGACAAGUUACCCUUCGCAUUGAUGGCAUACCAGACAUCAAUCAGCACUUCUACCGAGGCAACCCCUUUUGCUCUGGUGUACGGCAUGGAGGCAAUUCUACCUGUGGAAGUGGAGAUUCCUUCUCUGAAAGUUUUAUCCCAAGUGGAGUUGUCUAAGGUAGAAUGGUUGCAGCAAAGAUUCGAGCAGUUGAACUUGAUUGACGAGAAAAGACUGAAGGCUCUCUGCCACGGCCAAACUUAUCAACAGAGAGUAACCAGAUCUUGCAACCGACAGGUACGAUCAAGACAUUUCGAGGUAAAUGAUCUUGUUCUAAGGAAGCUACUACCAAUUUUUCCAGAUCAUGGGGGAAAGUUUGCUCCAAAUUACAGCGGCCCAUAUGUGGUGAAGAAAGUAUUCCCUGGUGGAGCCUUGAUCUUGGCAGAAAUGGAUGGUCGUGAGUUCUCCACUCCAGUUAAUUCAGAUGUUGUUAAGAAGUAUUACCCAUGAUAGAAUUUUCCAUGUCAUGUUUUGAACUGCAAGCAUUUCUAUGAUAAAUAAAUUGCUUCAAUGAGUUAAAUUGUUCAAAUUUGCUGCAAAUCUUGCAUUUUCCUUCCUUGAUGAAUUGUAUGAGAUGAAUCGAAUGUAUCAAAUGGGAUACUUUGGAAUGAUAGACAAGUCUUGUUCCAUGCACUAUUUCAUACACUAAUCCCCAGUGAGUUGUGUGAAAAAAUUCCGUGCUUGCAAGGGAAAGUUGAUCUCGCAAAUGGUACAACAAUCGACGUGAUGAGAGGCAUUCUUUUCUCUAUCCCAAACAUUACAGGUGAUCCAUUGUUUAAACCCUUUGAGCCCCAUACACUUAUGGAGAUUCUUUUUAAAUUAUCCCUGUCAAGAAUCAUCCCACAUUGGGACAAAUUUAAAAUGUAUGGUAGGAAUCUUGUUGCUCGCACUUGCAUCAAUCUUCAAGUAUUGCUUUCACAGUGUAACUUGUAUGGUAAUUUAAAGUGCCUUAGGAUGAUGAAGAGCAGUUCUUUCUUUAUCCUAUACACUUUCAUCCGUUGCAUAGCCCACUUGAGUCUAUGAAUUCGUUCCAUGUUAAACCCAGUUGGUGAUCAUCCCCCACACUAGGGCAGGGCAAAGGAACCAUUCAAGUAACAUGGCUUAGAAUGCUGAAAGAGAAUGGAGACUCUAUCCAAAAAAAUAAUAAUAAUAAGUGCAAAAAAUGGGGCAUGAAAAAGCAGUGUGCUUGGUAAAAGUAAGGCCAAUGCCCAAAAAGAAGAAAAAUCAAACUCUUGAUAUAGUGAGUCGUAUCCCCAACAAGGCAGUACUAAAAAUCGAAUGCUAUUGCAAUCAAUGGAGUUAUGAUAUAAAAUAUUCGGCAAUGGAGAAGGAGAGUGGUGGAAAUGUCAAGAUGAUCACCAAUUUUGACCCCCUAAACACUUUUUGAGCCUAAUGAUCCUUUCAUUUCUUAACCAAUGAACCAAGCCUACGUUACGUCCCUUGUAAAGUCUCUCCUGAUUAUGGCACUUAAAUUAACUUAAGGGUUCACAUAUUUUAAGCAUCGCUUGAAGAAGUGCGAGCAAGAUUAUUUCUUUCUCAUUUUGCAGGGUUCUUGACUUGUAAACCUAGAAAUGAUUAUAGAAUAUCACUCAUUCUUUCAAUAGCCUCGACUCAAAGAGUCCCUUUUGUUAAGCCGUUGACCAGGCCCAUAUUACGGUCCCUAUAAAAGACCUCUAAGAUUGGUAAGGUCGUACCACUUGCGAGAUUGCAUAUACCCUUGUUUGGCAUGAUGACAGUGAGAUAGAGGGAUUGCCAAAUCAUGCAUCAAAGGUCAGGAUGAAAUGACCCUUUUUAAUGAGGAUGAGUGUAAAGUUCUCUCAGACCGAAGGAUCCCUCAUUUGACACAUCCAUGACACUCAUGUGUUCAAAUUGGAAUAUUCUUUUGAGAUAUUUCCCGAUAGAAAUUAGGUGAUGCAAGAUUGAUAGAAAUCAUCACGCAUGAACCUCAUUUGAAUUAAUGCAUGUAUGUGAAUGCAUAUUACCUUUCCUACAACUGUGUUUUGUAGGAAACAUAUCCCCAAGGAAUAGAGAUGUCACCAGGUAAGUAUAUCUCUAUCCAUACCUUAAAUACUUGUCAUUGUACAGGUAUUCCUUUUCAAGCACCGACGCUCGAUGGAGUCGCCCCCCAAAGAUUUUUCCCAAAUUCACCUAUUCAGGUGACCGUAGAAUGAUACAAGUCCUGGAAAAUGAAUCCUAGUUUAGGCGACCAUAAAAUGGUACGGGUCCUAGACAACACCUAUUCAGACUACCAUAAAAUGGUACAGAUCCUGGAAAAUGAAUCCCAGUUUAGGCGACCGUAGAAUGAUACGGGUCCUAGACAACACCUAUUCAAGUGACUGUAGAAUGGUACGGGUCCUAAAUAACACCUAUUCAGGUGACCGUAGAAUGGUAUGGGUCAUGGAAAAUGAAUUUCAAUUUAGGCGACCGUAGAAUGGUACGGGUCUUAGACAGCACCUAUUCAGGCGACCGUAGAAUGGUACGGAUCUUAGACAACACCUAUUCAGGCGACCGUAGAAUGGUACGGAUCUUAGACAACACCUAUUCAGGCGACCGUAGAAUGGUACGGGUCCUGGAAAAUGAAUCACUAUUUGGGCGAUCGUAGAAUGAUACGGGUCCUGGGAAAGCAGUCUCUUUGUAAAAUCAAGUUACUAUUCUAGGCAACCUUAAAAUGGUACGAGUCCUGAACAUGUAACACCAAUUAUCUCGAAUUGCUCUACCCUCCUUGAAGGUAAGAUAUUCCAAGUAAGUUCAUUUAUCAUUUGCAUUAGUAUUUUCAUGCAUCACAUAGAAUUCAUUUUCCCAAAAAAAAAAAAAAUGAAUUCAUUUUCCAACAAAAAGUAAUUCAGUGCAUGUGCAUGAUCAAAAUUUAGGUCUCAACUCGUCUUUGAAGGCAACCUCUACGAGCUCACCUUCAAAGAGGGGCAGCUGUUGACACAUAAUUUUAGCAAAUCUAGGGAAAUAAGCAAAAUAAAAAUUUCUUAUGAAUAAAUAAAAGGAAAAAAAUGAGGGAAAUUGAUUUGAUCGAUUAUGCAUGGAAAUUUGGAAUUCCGAUGGAUACUGGGAUUUUGUCAAAUGCAAAAGAAAUUUGAAAAUCAAGUGAAUAAAUGGCAAGAAUUUUUUAAAAAAUGGAAGAAAUCUGAGCAAGAUCAAGCUAAUUAAGAAAUCAUGCUUUGGUUUAUAGCUUCGAUUUAAUGUGACUGGAGAUAGAAACUCAGAAAAUGCCAUACAAAACAGCCAUUUGGAAUCAUUAUAAAAGAGAAGUUCAUUUUUCGAAAUUAAGGAGGUUUUUUCCAAAAAAAAAUUGAGAGCAAAAAAUUUAGAGAGAAAAAAAGAGAUUUGUGUGAGAAAAUUCGAAAAAAAAAUGGUGGAAAAGUCAAAAAGGUUUGAAGUGACUAGUCUGUGAAAAGUCAUGUGCGGGCGAAAAAAAAAAAGUUAGUUCGUCUUCCUCGCCCGGCAGCCCACACGUUCAGCAACCAGCGCCUGUCCCACCAGCGACCUGAGCCUGUCCCACCGAUGACCUGCCCGUUCACUUCCCCGCUCAAGCCGCGAAGCUGCCCCCCUGCCAAUGCCGUCCCGAUCUCACCGCAUCUCCGCCACCGCCAACCUCACCGCUACGUCCUCAACACCUCCACCCGAGAUCCACUCGAUCACCGAGCCCCACACCGCAGCCGACACCACCAUCCAGCGUCACUACAAACCAGCUCAGCGACCCAUGAUUCGCUCACUACUCAAGGUCCCAUAGCUGACCCCCACACCGUAGCCAACGUCGCCGCCCAAUGACCCGCAACCCAGCUCCACCGCUGCCUCUCGCCCGAGUGACCCAUCUGCAGAUCCCGAAGAACCAGCGUUGCCCGCGCCGGCACCUCCCUGACUCGCCACCAUCCUCUUUCCGGCGACCCAAUGCCCAACGCUUGCCGAUUUGCUUCAGCCCGAUGAUCUACCGUCGCGACGCCUCUGUCCGACAUCUGUUGGUCCCUACCACGACCAGUAGCCCUCACUGCACCACCCGACACGAUGCCGGAGCUCGAUGCCACCAUGCCGCAACCCGCGCCUGACACCGUCACUACCCCUUCCACACCUGCACGCAAUGCUAGCAGCCAUGGUGCCGCCCAACCCGCCAGAACUUCCAUGACUGGUCAACGACCAUCCGACGCCGUCCUCCGUCAUUUUCCCCCUUAGGUAGUUUAAUUUUUUUAUCUCGUUUUUUUGUUCUUUUUUAGUUUAUUUAUUGAAGUUGUAAUAUUUGAUGUCAAUAAAUAUUGUAGGCAUCAUCUGCAGGGAUUUUGCCCGAAAUUAUUGUAAUUACUAAUUUGAUCCGAGAGACAUCGGAUCAUUUUUUUAAUUAUAUUAAUUUUUGGGCUUUUUGGUAGAAUUUCAAUCGUUAAAUCAUUAUAAUUAUUAAUUUGGUCCAUAAGACUUCCGAUCAGAUUUUUAAUUAUUUUGAACUCUUUGUCGUAAUAAUUAGGGUUAGGAUAAUCGUUAAUUUGACCUGUGAGACAACAGGUUAUUUUUUAGAUUAUUUUAAUCAUUUAUUUUGUUGAUACUUUAGAUUUAAUAUUUAUUUAAUAAUUACUUAUCUUUUUAAAAAACUAAAAAUCAAAAAAAUCAAAAUUCUACAUGAGCAUAUAGGUUUAGUAAAUCAGACAUGUAGGUUUAGUAAAUUAGAAAUUGUUUAGGAUUGCAUUUUUAGAAAUAAGUUAGGGUUAGACCUAAAUAUUUUUUAUUUAAAAUAGGGUUUUAGAUAAUGUUCGCACAUUUUAAAUCUCAUUUUUCCAAAAAAAUAGUUUUUCUAAGAUAGGAUAGGGUUUAAGUCAAAUUAAUCCCUAUAAUAAAUUAGAAAAUUAUCCCUUCUUAGAUAGUUUAAUUAGGGUUUUUAUUAAUUCCGAAUUUCAAUAAAAAAAAUACAAAAAUACUAGGUGCAUAUUAACUAGUUUGCAUAAUAGGCCCAUUUAAUUAAAAUUUGCAUAUUAAUAAGAUUAAGUCAUUUAGUUAAAAAAAUGCAUUUUUAUAAAAAAAAUUCUAUUUUUUUUAAAAACCCAAAACAAAAAAAAAAUAUUUUGCUUUGUGUGAUUUGUUUUGUGUGAUGCAAUUUAUUUAUUGAAUGUUUAAUAAUGGUUGAGUACCGAUGUGGUCACCAUAUUUGCAUGGUAGUAAUUUCGGUUAAAAUAAAUCCAAGUUGCUUGCAAAAAAAAAAAAUUAAUAUAAAAAAUGGUACCGAAAAUGCAUUAGAAAAUUCUAUUGUAACCAAGUCCCCAUACCCUUAGUCUCUGGCUCAUAGAAGUAAAAUAAAUCUCCCUUUAUUUUACUUAGAUGUCUAAUCGACCUACCGUGAACCAAUUAGUGGCAACUCCUAAUUAAUAAUCUUUUGCAUGUUUAAAAAUUUAGACUUAAGUCGCGAUUUGGUAUGAACUUGGGAGAGCCUGAGUUAAGUUUAAAAACUUGACAGUCCAUUAACCAAGUUUAGGUGGUGCACCGAAAAUUUAGGUCGCGACAGGACCUGGAGCUGAGGGGAGGUGAUUGGAAGUGUAGGUCAGUUAAGACCGCUACUUUUUGGAAAGCCAGACCUUAUAGUCUUUUGGUCGUAGACCUUGUACAUGACUCUAUGUGAAUAUAAAAGCAUGUUUGUGUUGAAUCUGUUGUCCUGCUUUUCUAUCCCGAGAUUAUUACUAUUAGGGGAUUUAUUUUCGCUUCUGCAUGUGCAAUAAAACAAAAAGGGUCGGCGACUCAUCCUGGGAAAUCGCAAAAUAGUAUCGACCAGAGAGGGAUGGGCACACGCUUGGGGUUCGGGGGCAUAACACUAAUCCAUAUUAAGGCUAAUUAACACUAAUCUAACCCCAUAAGUGCAAUUAACAACGUAAUCAAGGAUUAAGGAGUUAACUCACCGAAAUUCAAUGGCGGCGGAUUCACGGCGAUGGCGGCGCAACGGUGAUGAGAUCCCAUAACUACUAGGUCUCCAAUGGAGGCCAACUGGCGGAAGAAAAUAGCCUGCAAGGCUCACGACCAAGGUUGUUCUUGGUUCUGAGCUUAGCUAGUCAGGCUCGGCUGAGGCAAAGUUGGGAGCGAGGCGAGACGAGAUGGAUGGACGGCAGUGGCUGGCGGACGUACGAGCUGGCAGCUGGAGCGGUGGCCACCCGGCUAGAUGCGGGAUCGGACGUGCAGAAGAGCUUGGCGAUUCUGGCGGUGAUUGGAACGACGGUUAUGGUGGUGCGAAAGUUGAGAGGUAGUGGCAGUUAGCUUCGGUAAUCAGUGUGAUGGGGCUGGUGAGGCAGUGCUAGCUAGGCGCGGGGCUAAUUGGCCUUGAGCUGGUGGCUUACGACUUCAAGGGAAUGAGAGGAGUAGCUGAAGGAAGAAGAUGAAAAUGGAGCAGAUGUUCAGCUGAGCAGCGAUUCACGCACAUGAGAGGAAGGAGAGAAAGAAAGAGGGAAAAGGGGGGGGGGAAGAAUGUCAACUUGGUAGCCAACGGGGGUUCAAGGGAAAUAUCCAUGCACUUGAGUAAUGAUUGUAUAUAUGACCUUAGCUCAUUAGCUUNNNNNNNNNNNNNNNNNNNNNNNNNNNNNNNNNNNNNNNNNNNNNNNNNNNNNNNNNNNNNNNNNNNNNNNNNNNNNNNNNNNNNNNNNNNNNNNNNNNNAAUAUUUUAGCUGGUAGUUUAAUUUUUAUUUUGCAAACGACGUCGUUUUGGGUGAGUUUCAAUCAAGUCAGCUCUUCGGCGAGCCACGUAGGCAAGAAAAAAUAAUAAAAUAUUGCCACGUAAGAUUUCCGGUAAGGUUCGCCGAAGGUGGCACUUAAGUGUCUCACUUUUCAAAAAAAGUGGCACUUAAGUGUACCUUUUCAAAAUUUUGGCACUUAAGUGUCCCUCUAUGCCAAGUUUUGGCACUCUAGGUGUCCCAAACUCGUAUUUGCCCCUAAGUCUUCAGCCACAUUAAUCAAUUGGCCCUCCAAUGGCUAAUUUCCCUUCAAAUCUUCACAAACAACUUCAUUUUGGUGGCCAAAAAUCACACCAAACCAGCCCAUACAAAUUUCUUCCAUUUAAUUUUGCCGAAUUUGAUUUUUCCGCAAAAUUCCGGGCUCGAUGAAAAUUCUUGGAAAGAUGAGACGACGUCCUAAAAAUAAAUCGUGACACGCUCGAACGUCCGAAUCUCAAAAUUGAAUUCAAUUUCGUGGUUAAAAUCGACCGGAUGCAAUUUUAGUACAACCUAACCUACCGGAUAGCUUUUAGGGAUUUUAGCGCGUUUUAUGCGUGGUCAAUAAUUUUUUAUCCACGUUUGUGCAUCUCUGACUCGUAAACGACUCUCGGUUGUCAUAAUAUCGCGAGGUUUCAAUUACGUGUCCCAAGAGAACUAUCGAUAGAAAACCAAGUUAUAACCAUUCGACACAAAUAUCGCAAUCGUGCGGAACCACCCGCAAUUCAACUUCACAAUUCCAUCUAAUCGACUUAUAUCCGUUCGUCAAUCGAUUAUAACGGUGUUGUAUUGACCCUUGCCGAUUAUUAUGGUCAAGCAAUCGAUUUUCAAUCGAAUUCUCUCGUCUGUCGCGUUUAUAUCCCUUGACGGUUUCACCUAAUAGAUUAGUCAACUCAUGAGUGGCCAAUUCAUAGUAAAAUGACCAUAGGCACGUCGACGAAAUGCCAAUUUCAUAUAUUCAAGAUGGGGUCAAAAUUCAGGAUGUCACAAUACCAAUCUUACAUGUUGCUUUAGUAGUGUUAAUAAUUGUUAAUUUCUCAAACUAUACUACUCAAACCAGCAACACAGACAUACCGAAACCUAACGUGCUUUUUUGUCUUUCCUAAAUAUCCAUAUCAAUCUAAAAGUAACAAGUCAAAACAUGCAGCCACAGCCCAGAGCACAGCAUGAACUCUUAUUUCCAUAUGAUGUUUCUCAUUAGAGCAUGGAUCUUGCACACACAACAUGGAACCGUGGAAGGAGGAUCUGACCUCUUGGUUGGCAUUAAUAUUAAGUGCUUUCACUAGCAUGAUGACCAUCCUCUGCCAUUUUCCCCAUAACCAUCUCUUGGGUGGUUUGUUGACCCCCACUACUAGAGUUGUAUGGUUGAAGGUCAUAGUCGCUAUUGGGGCCACUGAACUCACUUGUGGCUUGUUCUUGACUUUCUAGGGCCAUCAUCUGAAUAUCGUUGAAUCCUCCUGGUCUUGGUUUGUGUCAUACUCUGAGCUCUCACAACGAUUAUAUACUCUGCUAUGUCCCGGCAUAAUUCCUUCUUUUAAAUCGCUCAAAGAAAGGUUUCCUUGCAAUGCUCGAACUAUCUGAUUACACGAAACUCAUAUAUUAUCCUCAUUUGUAGAGCAAUUUGCAUCACUCAGUCAUGCCAGAAAGUGAGUUGUAGCAAAAUUAAGACACUGAAAAUAGUGUUUCUUUUUCUUUUUCUUGCUCAAAUGAAGUGACACCCUCACAACUUUUCAUUUGUAGGUGGAACAAAAUCACUAACGUGUUUUCUUUUUCUUUUUCUUUCUUAAAAUGAAGUGACAACCUGCAACUUGUGAUUUGUUGGUGGAACAGAAUCACUAAAUAGAGCAUAUAAUUACAUCUAUAAUGCAUGUAGUUCCCCCCAGGGUGUGGGUGGGUGGAAGGUUUCUCAACUAGACGAUGUACCUAUGUCAUUGGUGGAUGGUGUCGUGCAGAAUGACGAACACAAGUAGUAGCACAAGCAAUCAUCUGAGUCAAUUCCUCGGUAUCAUAGUCCUUGUUCAAUUUUGGAUCAACAAUGGCAUCAAAUUUGUCACCUUCUAAUGCUUCCGUGAGCAAAGGCCUUGCCUAAAAUUUCAUUAUAGGAUUCAAUUUAUAUGACGGCAUUCAUGGUGGAAAGAGGGAAAGGAUAAAUAACAUGAAGUGGAGGGGGUAUGGAUGCUCAAAGUCUUGAAAUCGGUUCUUUAACCUAUUAGAUAAGAUCACUAACAACGAUAGGCCGCAAGUAAAUAUGUUGUAAAUAGACUACUAACCCAAUCAACCAAGCUAUCCUCAUCAAAGGUUCAAGUUCUGUUCACUGGACGGUGCCUAGUUAUCAACUCUAGAAGCACUACACCAAAAGAAAAGAUAUCUGAUUUAUCGGUGAGAUACCAACUUGAGGCAUACUCUGGAGACAGGUAGCUGCACUAGGUAGACUAAAUCAGCAAAAGAUAAUACAACCAAUAUAUGCUCAGAGAGGAAAUAAAUAAAUUCAAUAAUCAUUGCUAUUGAGAAUAUAUCUUGAGUUUUAACCUGUAAAGGAAUCCUAAUCCAAAUGGAUUUCUUAGUUUGAGUAAAUUUCCUAGUUUGAGUGAGUUUUCUAAUAUUAGUCAGUUGAAGGGGAUUUGCUACUUUGGGUGUGUAUGUGUACACAAAAGAGGUGAGUUUUGGUUUUAGCAUACUAGAGUGAGUAGAGAAGCUUUUGGCCACAACAAUCGACUAUGUUGAAUGCUCAUGAAUAAAUUGUAAGUAUUGUGAAACCAAUAAAUCUUGUUCGCCUAAUUUGUAUAUUCUUUUAUGAGAUUGAGAGAUUGUUUUGUGAAAAAUUAUGCCGGCUAACACUAUAGAGCCAUUGGAUGUAAUUGAGGGGUGGGAAACAUUGAGAAUAUUUGAGUGCCUUGAAUGUGGUUGUAAUCUCUAUUAUAUUGCUUCAACUAUAGUCAAAUGUUGUGCUACUCUUCCCUUGAAAUUGGUCCCAUCGACCAAAAUACAUAAAUCCGGUAUUUGAUUUUUCCAUUAUUGUAUUUAUUAUUGUGUUUGAUUGCUUGUUUUUUUGUAACAAGUAGUAUCAAAGCUAGGUUUGAAUGAGUUGAAGUAAAUAGAUGGCAACUGAAGUAGGAAAAGUACAAAUCAAUAGAUUUGAUGGGAUUGAUUUUGGUUUCUAGAAAAUGCAAUUGAGGAUUACUUGUAUCGAAUGAGUGUGCUCAUCUUCUUUUUAUGAGGAGGUGAAGCAAACUAAUUAGGAUUUGCUAGACAGACAAGUGUUAGCUAUUAUUCAGCUAACAUGGACGCAUAAUAUUGCAUUUAAUAUCGUGAAAGAGAAAACCAUGGAAAAAUUUAUUAAUGCCCUAUCAAACAUUUAUGGAAGCCCUUUGCGAUCAACAAUGUCCACUUGAUGUGAUAUCCGUUGCACUUAAAAAUAGGCAAACGUGCGUCAAUUGUCAAGCAUGUGGUUGCUAGGCAAUUGAAUUUGGUUGAAAUUGACUCUAACGAUAGGGUACAUGCUUAAAUUCUAUUAUCCUCAUUGCUUGAUAGUUAAAGUACUAUUGUUAUUGUCAUUAGUAAUUCAUCUAGGUCAAGAAACUUAAUGUUUGAUGAGAUUCACAAUUCGAUUCUAAAUGAAGACAUCCAUAAAAGAGAAUCGAUUAAACUUCUCUGUCUGCUACUAUAGUAAGUCAAGGUAGAUGAAGAACUAUUAUUCGUGUUGGCAGAAAUAACGUGAACCUAAAUAGACAAAGUCAGUCUAGAAUUGUGGUGUUGACUAUUGGAAUUGUGGCAAGAGAGGGCAUCUUAAAAUGGAUUGCCUUAAGCCAAAGUGUUGGAGAAAACAUCUUCAAGUAAUUGUGAUAAUGCCCAAAUUAUCCUUAGUAUAUCGGUUACUAUAUUGUUUGCAAAUGUUUGGACCAAAGGACUACGCAUCCAUGAUGUCAUUUAUUGUAAAGAAGUUUGUAAAUAUCUUGUUAUUACAAAUAGCACCAAUCAAUCAAAAAGAUCAGGCACUGAUGAUAUUUAUGUCAAAAUAGUAAAGAUUAGGUUGAUGGUAAUGUGACAACAAAGUACAUCAGUUGAUGUUCGUUGAGUUAGCUAAAGAGCCAUUGAAAGAUCAAGAUUGGCAAAGCAGCAAAAUCAAAAUAAAGCAUGGAGCAGAAUAGCUAGAUUGUCUGAUGGGUUAGUCAAAGACGGCAAUCAAUAAACAGUAACAGUUACUAUUUUUGGUUGGUCUGUAGAAGUCGAAGGAAAGAAACUACCUUUUCGAACAACAGUUCAAUGGAAAACUCUCCAAUGGCCACCUACCUUUCUAAACUAACCUCAACGAAUAGAUUGAGGAAGGGAAUUAAAGGAGAAGGCCUUCAGGAACCAAAAGAGGGUGCAACACCUAAAAAAUCAAGUAGCUUAUGUACAUUUGUUCUCAGCAGAAAGCUUCAUGUUUUAUUGAUUUGUUUAUCGUGCUAUUUAAUAAUUGUGCUACAGAUUAAGUGUACAAGUGUAAGAGUAGCAACUAAGUCCAGAUAGUAUGAUUUACCAAGUGAAGGAUCAGUGCUAGUCGGUUGUAACUUUCCAAGUAGAUUGUCAGUAGAAUCCGAUCCAUCUUGAAGCUAUCAGUCUGAAGAAUGGACGUAAGUUUGAGGAUAAAGCUGAACCACUACAACUUUAUGCGUCCCAUUGUUUUUCGUCUUCUUAUAUACUUUGGCAUACAGUUAGUGAGUGUUUCCUUAUCAAGUCAAGGUGAUCUUUACUUAGUAAUUAACUAAUUUACGUAAAAGAUCAUCAAAGUUUGAAAACAACAUAUUCAUCCCCUCUCUAGGUUGUAUUGUUAGCCUCAACACGAAAAAAAAAUGGUAAAGGAAUUAGAGUCGAGCCUACUAAUGAUAUUGUUGCAAUAGCUUAUAUUAUUUGAAUAGUGCAAAUUAUGUCAUGAUUGUCACUAAGGAUUUGCCAUUCGAUGGGUAUGUUAUGGAUUCUAGUUGCUCAUUUAAUGUGACAUCAAACAUGAACUGAUUUGCUACUUAUCAGUGUGCGGAUGUUAAGGAAUAACGCUAAGUGUGAUGUUGUUAGUGUUGGCAUUGCUAAAAUCAGAAUUUACAUGAGUGAGACACAUCCAAAAUUGAAGCAAAACCUAAUUUUCUUGCACCUCCUAAAUUUAGCUAGGUGUCAAUGUACUUCGAAAAGUGUAGUUUUUGAAGGUUGUUCAAGGUACUCUGGUAAUAAUAAAAGGAAUAAAGCACUAUGGCUUGUAUGAGAUCAAGGGGAGAUGGUAACGCAUUGGAUGCAUUUGUUCGAGAUUAUGAAUAGUGCCAUAUGCAUUGAAGGAACACUGUAGAGAGAAGCUUAAAGGUUAUGAAUAAAAGAAAUUUGAUUUGUGGUUAUGUAGCUGAGAGACUAAAUGUAUGGAGGUGUUAUGGCUUAGGCAAAUAGCAGAAACCAUAGUUCUAUAUAACUGUAAAGAAACCAUAGAGAUUGCAAAAUUAAUUCAUAUAAAUAUGUGCAAGGCGUUGUAGUUUGGGAAGAGUACUAAUUUAUAUUGACAAUUGUGGAUGACUAAUCGAGGAAGAUCUGAAUGUUUGUGCUGAGAUAAAAGUUGGAUAUUAUUGUUAAGAGCCUUAAGCAAAACGGAAACUAGUAAGAUGAUUAAAUACAUGCGAACUAAUAGUGGCAUGGAGUUUUGCUCGUGAUAGUUAAAUGAAUUAUGCAUGAAAGAAGGUACAAUGAGACAUUGUAUUAGUGUGAGUGAACAAAAAACAGGUUGCAGAGUUAAUGAAGAGAAAUUCCUAGCGGGUGCACUUAAUUUGGCAAACUAUUUGGUAAAUCGAUUCCAUUGACUACUAUUUCAUACCAAACUCCCAAAAAAGUGUGGUUAGGUAAAUAUUGACAAUGAAAUUAUAUUCGACGAGUAUCUAAUAAUACUAGGUAGGAGAAAUUGUGGCAAUAUUUAUACGAAUUUGGAUGAUGUUUUAGCUCAAUGUAAAUUUGCAACCAAAAACUCCUGAGGUAGCGAGUACUUGUGCGAACGAGCCGAAGCUUAUAGAGGCUACAGUUGUUGUAGUUGCUAAGUUUGACAGGUUGCGUGUUUGAUCUCCUAAGAUUUAUAUAAAUACAACUGUGGCUUUGUUUUAUUUGUAGUUGAGGAGGUUAUAUCAAAAUGUUCUUGUGGAGUAAUUAAAGUUGUAGAUAGAGUUGGUGUCCUGAUUAGUUCACCAAAUGAAGCUUAAGCGUGGCUUAGGCUCGACUGAUGCCUGUGAUAGGUGAGCCCAUGAUUGGUUGUAGGAUAGUAACAAUGGUCAAUUUCCAUCAAAGUGGAUCUGAUUUUGCUCAAGUCUCGAGCAAAGAUGGAUAAUGUUGAGAAUGAGUCACAAAUUUGAGCCUAUAUAUAAAAUUUGUUCCGAGUAGUAGUAGGUUUCCUAGUUUGAGUGAUUUUCUAGCUUGGGUAGGUUUCCUAGUUUGAGUUGGUUAAAAGGGGUUUUUCUAGUUUGGAUUCAAAUAUAUAUAUAUAUAUAUAUAUAUAUAUGGUAGAUUUUGGCUUUAGCACACCGUAAUAAUCAAUUGCACAGCGUGCUUGUGAAUUGUUUUUUUUUUUUUGGUCGAAAAUAGCAUACCAUACUUUCAUUAAACACAUCGAGCUUUACAAGAUAAGUAGGAGUCAUAACAUAAAAUAGACAUCAAAGGGGCAGGUGGUUCACGCUGCCAAUUGGAAGGGAGGGUUUUUGUGCGGAAUGCCUUUGCUACCUAAUCGACUGCUUGAUUUGCUUCUCUCGAACAAAAGGAUACUGUUGCUGAAGGUAACUGGGCCAGGAUGUUUUUGCACUCCUGUACCUGAAGUUGGACGGCCCAAGACGCUUCCUCGCAGCCCAAGAUGAAGUCAACUAGCUUUCGACUAUCACUUUCGCAGGUAAGUCUUCAGUUCAGUUCUUGAGUUUGCCGCACGUGCAUCGUCUUCCACUCUCUAGCAUCUUCAACCCAUGAAACAAGCCUAGGGUUUCCGCCUACAAAGGGGAGGCCAUGUGAACCUCUUUGGUGAACCCAUCGAUCACGCUUUCGUUGGAGUCGCGAAGAAGACCAGCAAUCGAGCUGGCCGAAUCGGUGGCUGUCCACAAGCUGUCGACAUUCAAUUUCAAAUCUGGCGUUUGCGGUGCUUUCUAGGUUACGGGUGAGUGUUCGUUGUCCUUCAAUCUUGAGGAGUUCCUCGGUAUCCAUCUCUGAGAGGCGCUGUUUUGUGCUAGGGCUAUGUCGAUUAGUGCUUGAGGUUGGCCGUAGGUCUUCCGGAAGAUGAAGUUGUUUUGAUUUUUCCAGAUUUGCCAGAGGACCUCGACGACCAAUUCUGGAUCUGAGGCUUGCGUCUUGGCUAGGAGGUAUUCCGCCAUCCAUUUGUCCAUUCUAGUAGCCGAGGUUGUGAUGUGGCUUAUGUUUAGCCGGGGGUCUGACCAGAUUUUCUGGACUUGUUUGCAGUGAAGGAAUAUGUGCUUGACGGUCUCAGGGUAUUUGGAACAGAGGGGACAUAACGAGUCAGGUAAAAUUUUCCUCUGGUGUAGAUUUUCUUUGGUUGGUAAAGCGUCUUGACAGAGACUCCAUAAAAAUAUUCUCAGUUUAGGGGGGAUUGACAUAUGCCACAGUUUUGUCCAUAGGCUACGAGGGGGCUGGUAGGAGGAGGAGGCCUUGCUUUGGUCCUGCGGUAAGGAAGCAUCAGUGACCCUGUUAUAGCCACUCUUUACUGUAUAUUGUCCGUUAUGGUUGCCUGUCCAGAUCAAUUUGUCAGCUUUCUGUUGAUGCGCGAUAGGAAUAGCAAGAAUCUCAUUGACUGUCUUAUGUUCGAAUAAUUGGUUUAACAUGGGCUCAUUCCACUCUUUCCUUUCUUGAUUGAUUAAAUCAGCCACUAGAUUGGGGUUGUCUCUGUUUUCUGGUCCCCCAAGAAUUCCUUGUGAUAGCCAAUGAUCUUGACGGAUAUGAAUGGAUUUCCCGUCACCCAUGAUCCACUUUAAAUCUGGUAGUAUAGCAUCUCGUCCCAUAAGAACACUUUGCCAGCCCCAAGAAGGGCGGGGUCCUCUGUUUGCUUUCCAAAGGUCUCCUUGAGGAAAGUAUAGUCCUUUCAGUAGUUGGCUCCAUAAGGCUGAGGGGGAUUGGGACAGUCGCCAGGCCUGUUUUCCCAACAUAGCUACUUUAAAAGAAAUUAAAUCUUUAAAACCUAACCCUCCUCGAUCUUUUCUGCUUUUUAGAGUCUCCUAGUUUUUCCAAUGCAUGAUAUUCUUUGCAUCGUUUUGCCUCCACCAGAAUGCUGCAAAUUCAUUUCUCAAUUGCUCUGCAAAUGGAUACGGGGAUCUUGAAGAUGGACAUGGUGUAUUGUGGCAAGGCUUGCACCACUGUUUGACCAGAAUCUCUUUCCCAGCUUUCGACAAGUAUUUCUCUUUCCACCUUGCUAAUUUCAUAUUUACUCUUGCCAAAAUCCAUGCGAACAUGUCUUUUUUGGUUUUUCCCCAGUCUGAUGGUAGCCCUAGGUAUUUCCCAGUUCUGUCAAUAGUUGGCAUUCACAUUGCAUGAGUCAUAUUCCUUUUUAGAUCCUGUGGACAGCCAUUGCUGAAGAACAUUCCUGACUUGUUUAAGUUAAUUGCUUGGCCCAUCGCAUAACAGUAUUGAUUUAGUAUAGCUGCCAGGCUCUGGCAUUCUCGAACUGACCCAUCCAUAAAGAAAAUGGCAUCAUCAGCAAACAAUAGAUGGGUGAGGGUGGGGCAAUACCUAUUUAGCUUUAUCCCUUUAAUGCUGCCAUCUGCCAGGGCGUUGUGUAUCAUCCAUGAGAGUACAUUUGCCAUCACAAUAAACAAGUAGGGGGAUAGGGGGUCGCCUUGUUGUAUACCACGUGUAGGCCGAAAAAACUCUGUUUGCUCUCCAUUAACUUUCACGUUUAGGGAGGCUGAAGUAACGCAUUGCAUAAUCAAAUUAACCCAUUGAUCUGAAAAUCCCAUCUUCAACAUACUCAUACUCAGAAAGUCCCACUCCACUCUAUCGUAUGCUUUUUGCAUGUCAAGUUUCAAAAUGGCCUGGAAUUUUCGUUUCCUCUUUUUUAUCCUCAUUUGAUGCAGCAUUUCUUGAACAAUGAUAAUGUUGUCUUGGAUUUGACGUCCAUGUACAAAAGCACUUUGUUCUUGUGAAAUGAUAUGUGGUAGCCACCGUUUCAAGCGAUUGGCCAGGAUUCUUGAGAUGAUUUUGUAGUUGAAAUUGCAAAGGCUGAUUGGUCGAAAUUGGCUGAUAUGUUCUGGAUUUUUAAUUUUUGGUAUGAGGACAAUGAAAGUUUGGUUAAGAGUGGAAUCAAACUGUCCUGACUGAAAGAAUUGCUGGACCAUAUUCAUGACAUCCGACUUAAUUUCUUCCCAAAAAUGCUGAUAUAAUUGCCCACUUAGACCAUCCGGUCCUAGGGCCUUUAGGGAACCAAGCUGGAAGACAGCUUCUUUGACCUCCUCCUCAGUAAUAUCAACCAUCAAGAACUGAUUGAUCUCCGUUGUUACUACUUUUGGGCAGUGAUUUAAGAUGGGCUGAAGGUUCCUUGGACCCGCCGAUUGAUAGAGAGCUCGGAAGUAAGCCGUGACGUGCUGCUUAAUUGCAUUGGGAUCCUUGGUCCAAUGCUGUUCAUCAGUCUUCAGCAUGGUAAGUCUAUUCCUUUGUCUCCUCUGAAUUGUAGUUGCAUGGAAAAACUUUGUAUUUUUAUCACCCCAUUUAAGCCAUGUGAUACGGGAAUGUAGUCCCCAAUAUAUCUCCUCUUGCCUCCAUAGAUUAUCAAUUUUCGCCUUGAUCAACUGAAUUUCUACUUUAGUGGAUGUUGUAGGGUGGCAGUUUGUGAUCUCCAUAAGGCUCUGCUUGAGCUCUUUAAUUUGAAUAGAAGCAUUGGAAAACUUUUUUUUGCUCCAUUCUAGUAGCUCCUCUGUUACUUGCUGGAGUUUUUGUGGUAAGCUUCUACUUUCGAGAUGGGGUUUAGCCCAAGCUUUUUUGACUAUAUCUCUACAAUCCUCCUCAUCUAACCAGUAAGUUUCGAAUCUUAAUUCCUUUUUUCCUUUUGCCGGGACCAGGAUAUAAAGAGAGGAGGAGGGGACUGUGGUCCGACCCUACAGCUGGUAAAGCAUAGAUUUCAGCAGACAGGAAGGUUGUCACGCCCCGAUCCUCGGUCACGUGCCCAUCCUUGUUAUAUCUGGUCGAUUUUAAACUUGCGAUAUCCCAGGACUACGUAUCGCCGACCCUUUCAUUUAUUAAGCACAUGCGGAAGCAGUUAUUAAUCCCCAGACAACAAAACAAUGGGAUAGAAAAGUAGGGCCAUAAUUUUCAUACUAAAAUUCACAACCACUCUUUUACACAAGCACCUCAUAAUAUAUAAUGCAAUACUAUUCACAGGGGUCUGAUCUAACACUUCUCCACAUAUAAUCAAGGUUUGACAAAACAAGAUGGGAUCUCAGUCCUCAUCCAGGUCGUACUCAGGAUCCUCCUCGUGGUCAUCUUCUUCUCCAAAAUGUUCCUCCUCAUUUGGUUCCACAUCAGGGUUCUCCUCUUCAGGUUCCUUCUCCUCAGGCUCCUCAUCAGGGUCCUGAAAUGGUUAUUCAAUAACCAUUGAGACCACGUCUCAGCAAGUUCUACCCCCUAAGACUCGAUUAGUAAACUAAUACGCUAACCGGGCUACCUAUACACAUACGAGUCAGAGGACUUACCUUGGCCUCAGAUUCCACCUGCAUAUUAGCACAGUUUAGUAGGCACCCAAGUAAUCACAUUACUGAUCGAAGCAUCGAUCAAAUCGACCUAGUCGAUUACAUGUCAAUCAGACCAUCUCAUGGUCAUUUCCAAUCAAUCAAUCAAUUCACAACAUCAUAUCAAAGCAAUGAUCAAUCGACCUAGUCGAUUACAUGUCAUCACGACCCAUGCUUGGUCGGCACAUUCAAUACUAUCUAUAAGUCCGACCAUAGUCCAGGACUGCUCACUCUAAGCUGAUAUAUAGAUAGUAUAGCUCGCACUAAGCUGAUAGGGUUAAGGUAUACUGCUCUCGCUAAGCUGACAUAUCGCCCGUAGGCUGAUAUAGUAUACCGGUAUACUGCUCUUGCUAAGCUGACAUAUCGCCCGCAGGCUGAUAUAGUAUACCCCCGAUGCUCACUCUAAGCUGAUACUCUAAGCUGAUAAAGUGUACUGCUCGCGCUAAGCUGACAUAUCGCCCGUAGGUUGAUAUAAUACACCAGUAUACUGCUCUCGCUAAGCUGACAUAUCAGAGACCGUAGGAUGAUAUAGUAUACUAUCAGACCAUUCAAUCCAUUCCAUCUUUUAUCAUUCUCGAUAAAAUAGCCGUGUGUGGGGACACGGUCGGCCUUAGCCGAAAUAUAAUAUUUUCCUUUCCAGAACGCCCACAUUUUUUGUAGUCCACUCAAAUAUUUUUGGCAUUAUUAAUCGAUGCCCGGUUAUUUUUCAAUUAAUAACCAAUGAUUAUCCAAUUAAAGAAUAAUUCCCUCUUUCACAAAUAAUUCAAUUCAGCAUGAAAUAGAGCUCAAUUAAAUAAACAGACUGUGCCACGACAAUCGGCAUAAAAUUUCGGUCACUGGCCAUCCCAGUUGAAUUUCCGGGAAAUAAAUAAUUAAAUAAUUAAUUUCGGAAAAUAAAUAAAUAAAUACAAUAAAUUCAAUUUAGCACAAUAUAAAGCUCAACUAAAUAAACGGACUGCACCACGAUCAUCGGCAUAAAAUUCCGGUCGUCGGCUAUCCCUGCCUAAUUUCCGGAAAAUAAAUAAUUUAUUAAAUUAAUUUCGAAAAUUAAUAAUUAAAUACUAAAAAUCCAAUUUAGGCCCAUAAUGCCUGAUUGGACGCCAGAACGAAUUGGGAAAAAUCCCGAGAUGCAUUCGAUAAUUAUUAGAAGCUCUCUAUUUGCUAAUGACUAAGUCUAACCACCUAACAUGCAUCAUUAAGUCACUAAUUUAAUUGUUUUAAAUUAAUCUAACCACCUAAGUGCACUUAAUUAAAUCUAACCAACCCUUAAGCAUAAUUAGCAAACUAAGAAAGCAUUAGUGAGUAAAACUCACUUGAUUAAAAGCGGGGACCGGGACACCGCAUGGCGACGCGACGGCGCGACGACGGCCGAAAUCCGAAUUUUCGGCGACGUCAACGAUCACUUGGGCCGAGCCAAGAAACUUUGCAAGCCCACAGAAAUAUCUAGGUUCAGACUUAACUUGGGCCGAACUUGGGCCAACUUGCUUCGCGGGCUGAACUGCUAAAACUUCUUGGGCUUCAAGUCAAUUGAAAAUGGGCUGCCGACUCAAGAGCUGCUGGACUGGGCUGAGCUGAAUUCGAGAUGGGCUGCUUUCUCAUGGGCUGAAAUAAUCUAAAUUUAACUUGGGCUGCACGGGCUUGGAACUUCAAAUGGGCUUCGGUGAGCUGGGUUUCUUCGAGGAGACUUGUUGGAGUCACGAACGAGCUGGGCUGCUGACGGGCCAAAGGAAGAAACACGUGGGCUGCUCCUUGGCCUGUUGACGCAAGCGAGAGAAGCAGCAGGUCCACGAGCCGAAGAAGAGCGACCACGCGGACAGGAGCUGCUUUGGGCGAGGGAAUGGCAGACGGCGUGAAGAGAAGAACCGGUGGCUUCGGCUUCGCUGGCAUCUUGAAGAUGUCCACGCCGGGGACGCCUGGCAGCAGCAACGCUUCGUGGACGAUGCUGGGUCAACGAGAAAGCAAAGCGGAGACGCACGGCAGCUGGGUGAAGAAAUCAACGAAGAUGUGGGCGCUGGAUUGGUCGAUCGAAGGUUGACGGUGGGGAUUUCUUCGGUGGAGGAGCACGCGGUCUUGGAGUGGUCAACACUUGGCUUCGGUGGAGGAUGAGGUGUUGACCGUGUGGCUUCAACUGAAGACUUUGGUGGAAUAUAGGAUGCGCGUGAGUGGAGAUGGAGGGUUGCUUCAACGAGGGAAAAUGAAAGAGCAAAAGCAUAACAGACCGAGAGAAAUCGGUGAAGAGAGAAGUUAACGCGAAGAAAAUUCCAAGUGUGAGGGGCUUCAAUGGAACUGCCGCAAGAGAGAGAGACGCACGGGGGAUAAGGGGCGGCGGUCUUGGCUUGCCGAAGAAGCUGCCGACGGAGGAGCCCACAAAUUCUAUCCCUUCCAUUAAUUGCUUGUCCCCCUUGAACCCCUCAAACUUAUCCAAGUUAUCCAAUAAUACUUUCUAGGUUGGAUAAUGCCACAAUUUCUCCAAAUUGACACCAAAAUAUAGCCCUUAGUCCAAGCUCCGAAUUUUACCGAUUAAACUUAAAUUUCUUCACUCAAUUUCCUAAAUUGAGGUCCAAUUUCGUCGAAGAAAAGUUCCACACAUCUCCACAAAUUCCUAUCAUCCAGUAGCUCGGCUUAGAAAUCAAAAUUCCCUUCAAAUGAGCUAAACCGAAUUUUCGUUGAUUUUAUGCGACGUCCGAAGUGCUUUUCCGUAAAAAUCCCAAACUCAAUGGAAUUUCUCUGAAAUACAAGAAAACAUCCUAUAAAUGAACCAUGACAUGCUCAAAUGUCGGAAUUCCGAAACCGAAUUCAAUUUCAUGGUUAAAAUCGGUCGAACGCGAUUUUAGUCCGAUCCGACCUAUCAGGUAGCUUUUAGGGAUUUUACCGCGGUUAUAUCCCUUAACGGCUUCACCCAAUAGAUUGGUUAACUCGUGAGUGAUCAGCUCAGAGAAAAAGGACCAUAGGCGCGCCAGCGAAAUGCCCAUUUCAUAUAUUCAGAACGGGGUCGAAAUUCGGGAUGUCACAAAGGUAAUGCGCCAUUCCAUUGUGCAAACUCCUCUGUCUAAACGCUUUUUUACUAAAUUUGCCCCUUCUCUAUUGUGCUUGUGAAUUACAUCCUAAAGAAAUUGCAAGUGUUGUGAAGUCAAUAGAUCUUAUGGUAAGAUUUGUGAUUCCUUUGUGAGAUUGAGAUGUUUUUUUAGGGUAUUUGAGUGACUCAAGCCUACUUAUAAUUACUAUUGUAUCGCUUGUUUUAUAGUGGAAUUCUAUUAUGCUCUCCCUAGAGAGUAGGUCUUGCCAACCAAACUUAACCAUGUAAAGUCAAUAUUCGAUUUAUUUACUUAUUCUAUUUAUUAUUGUGUUCAAAUGACUUUUUUUUUUCAAAGAAUUAGUACCAAUUUAGACGAACUAUAUGCAAAACGGCCUUACCCAAAAGUUCCCACUACUCGAGUUGAUACAUGAGUAUCUGCAUCAGAAGCAAACUUUGCAAGUCCAAAAUCUGCAACCUAUCAAGAUGUUGGCUUUUACAAUUCACAUCCAAAUAGCUUCACACUGAUAUAUUAGAUUAUGUAUUAAAAAUUCAUCACAACUUCAAAAAUAGCUGCAAGAUGAUAGUUCUCCAUAUGUAUCAUCAAGAAACCCACUUUUGCAGCUUAAUGAUCUUUAAGCUUCGGCUUAUACAGAGGACGUUGGAGGGAUGCAAAUUGCUUUUUGAGAUAUGAAGUAAAUCACUAGCUUGAGGAGCUAACCGAAUAAUGUGAUAGUGAAUCUCAUAAACAGCCUAGAUGACUAAUAUUAUCAUGUAAUGGCUAAACGGUUGCAUAUCAUACCUUUGCCUCAAAAUUGGAUUCCAGAAGAAUAUUAGCAGCCUUGAUGUCACUGUGAAUGAUUCCGGUACCUAAGAACUGAAUCCAAUAAAGGAAAACCGCAAAACUUAUCAAAAUAAUAAGGUUUAGAAGAGCAAUCUUACAUUCCUCAUGCAGAUACGCCAACCCUUUUGCAGCACCUAAAGAAAUUUUCAUCCUUAUAGGCCAAGUCAUAGUUGGUUGAUCCUUUCAUGCAAUAAUAUUUGCCAAUUAUAACAACGAUUGUGUUCUCGAUCAGCUUUUGAGCUCCAAAAUAACCGUGCAUCUUAUGUUGCCUAUGGAUGCGUUCUGCAGUGGAGAUCAAAGUUAGCUUAUUAUUAUGGGAUUUUUCACCCAAAAUCACCUGAGAUUUAUCCACUUUUUUUCUAAUUUUUAGUGGAUUUUUGCCACACACCUAGAAAAGGCCAGGCGGUUGUUGUUGUCAUCGACAACAACGUUUUUCUAUAUCUUACAUCUAUAGUAUUUUUGCCCUGGUGGAUCUCUCUCUCAUUUAAUAAAAGUCUUGAAUUUUGGAUUACUAAUUGGUAGAAUACUAGGCAAUCCAAUGAUAACAAUUUGAUUAAUCGAAAAUGAAAACCAACAAAAUCCCAGCGUAUUGCCAAUUUGUUAUAUAAGCGGCUUUGUUAUAAAAGUCCCUUGUUCCAGAAUGGUGGGAGCAUAUAAUCGAGUCCACUAUUCAAGCAGCACUUAAAAAAAGGCAUUAACCUAGAAUAUCAAAGUUGAUAGUAGUCAGAAUCCAUACAUACCGACAAAAGUUCAAGUCUGAACUUGGAAAAAGGGUAACGGAGAGAGAAGGUGGUCGAUGUUAGAAAGGGCAUCAUCUGAUGAAAGAUCAACACGUAUUCCUUUGAAGUCAUACUCACCGUGCAAAUGAAAUUCCAACGUGCUAUUUGGAACAAACUCAUAUACCAGAAUUCUAUGAGCGCCAGAAAUGCAGUAACCAACGAGAGAAACAAGGUGUCUGUGAUGGAUGCGACUGAUGAUCUCGAUCUCUGCUUGAAAUUCCCUCUCCCCUUGUCUGCUUCCAGCUUUUAACUGUUUGAUUGCAACUACUUUCCCGUUCGAAAGCACUCCUUUAUGAACGUAGCCAAAACCACCUUGGCCGAGUAAGUUGAGAUUGGAGAAAUCAUCUGUUGUUAUCUUUAUCUCCUUGUACGUGAAUUUGUUCUGUGAAAAGCCUAAUUCCAUGCCUGGAGAUGGUCCGGAAAAAGGUCUUACUAAACACGUUAUUGUUAUCGACAAUGGCUCAGAAGUAGUCGAACCUUGUUAACUCGACACAAUAAAAUUACGAAGAAUUUACGAACUUUAAGAACUCGCAUUCAAGGAUAAAAAUCUCACCGUUAGGCCCCUGUGGAGGGUAACUCCCCAACUCAAGCCGCCUCCUCUUCCUUCGAUAAAAAAUCACGAAUAUGCACACCCCAACCAGCACAGUGAGCCCCCCAAUCCCAAUCCCCACUAUGAGCGCCAGCUUCCAUGGUGGCAACCCCCCAUUCGGAGACGCCGGUGGAGGAGAGGUGGAGUUGGUCGAUGGAGUGGGGGGGUUCGACGACGGGGCAUCGCCGGUCGGAGGCUUCGCACUCGGCGAUGGGAAAGGACUCGCUGUCGGGGGAGGUCCUCCCACGAUCGAAGGUGGGGGAGGACCCGCCGUUGGGUCAGGAGGAGAAGGGGAACAAUUUACGGUGUUGGUAUUCACCGGCCGCCGAACGCAAUUUGCCAUGAGAGGCCCACGAGUUCGAUGCGUACGACGUCGCUUAGAGUGGAAUGAAAAUUGGUUUCAGGUAUUUUAGGGGAAGUUUUGGACGGACGUGUUUCGAGUGGAUGAGUGUGAGCGCUGGAAGGAGCAUGCCAUAUAUAUAUAGAAAGAAUAUCUUCUAAAAAUUUUCUCAUUUUUACAAAAAUCAAAUUGUAGGAAUCGUUUGAUUUAAAAAAAAAAAAAAUAUUGAAUGUUAACAUUGUAUUUCACAUCGAAGAGAUAUGUUUUAAAUUAGGCUGCUAGGAUGAGAAUUUUUGCAAUAUUGCAUACUUUCUUAAGCCGAGCAUUGACUGUUUGUGACAUGGCUCGAAAAAAUGAAGACGAAUUAAUCAACUUAUGCUUUGCUAAAUCUAAUUCCUCGUCUUGUGGCGCUAUAUGUUUGGGAAAAUAUAGGUGUGAGGAAGAAGAGAAAAAUAGAAAGAAUCGAGAUUGGAUUUCAGGAGCAAAGCAUGAGCAGCUUGAUUUUGACUAUAGUUAUGCUUUGGAAAUGCACGGUUGCGGAUGGAGAUCAAUACAAUCAAUUUUGAAAAGCGAGAAAAAAGGGAAUAUAGUGUAGACCGCAGUCCCAUACACGAGACUUGACCGACACCAUUUCUUUCGCAAAUCGAACCCAUAAAAUCCAAUCUAAGUAGAGAUUUCAACUCUAAAUAGGAGUUGUGGUUUGACACCCAAAGGAGGAAAUUACUGAAAUAUUUUCCAAAUUGGAGUUGAUCUCCUAGUUUGAGUCGUUUUAAAGGAGUUCUCUACUUGCAUCAAAAUAUUGUCAAAAUAUUUUCCAAAUCAGAGUUGAUUUUUGGCCGUCGGUGAGUAGAAAAGCUUGUGCUGUAACAAUAAAUUGUGUCGCACACUAGUGAUUUACAUAGUGAAGAUUUUUGGAAGGUUUUAAGCCAAUAAAUUUUCUGGCAAGAUUUGUGGAUUCCAGAAAAAUUAUCCAAAAAGUUUAAAAUUUAUUGUAUCCUUGUCAAUUCAGUUCUAAACUUUUUAAAUUUGUCAAUUAAAUCCAUCUGACCAAUUUUGAUCAGAAAUCGUUGUUGUGAAUGUCGAGCGUCCUAUGUAGCAGGAUUGAUGCUAAUAUGAAUGAUUUUUAAUAUUCCUUUUUUCUAUGCUUUUUUUGGGUCUCACCGACAACCCUUGCUAGCCAUGGAGGCCUCACCUGCGACUACUGUGGCCACAAAGGCCCUAGACGAGGCCACCGUGGCCCCACUGGCGGUGGGCAAGGAGGCUUUCGCCCAAAUCUGGCAAGGGCCGCCUCACCCUCGCCUGCAACUAGUGGGGUUCAAAGCCUUCCCUUAGGGCCACAACCAAAAAAAGCAUAGAAAAAAAGGAAAAUAAAAAAUUCAAAACCAAAAUAAAAAUUCAAUGAAAUAUUACGAUAUGAGUUGUCCACAUUAACACCGAUCGUCUACAUCAGUGAUUUACAGCCAAAUUAGCAAUUUCCAACCAAAAUUGACCGGAUAGACUCAAUUAACAAAAUAUGAAAAGGUUUAGACUCAAUUAAGAAAAUUGAAAGAUUUAUGUUUAAAUUGACAAAAGUUGUGACAUUCUGAAAUUCGAAUCCUCUGAGGAAUGAAUGGAUGUGAAUUUCGCCAAUGCAUUGUUGGUUGAUCUCACUCGGAAUUGAUCACUCCUGAGAUACUGACCUUGAGUGGAAAGGCUACUGAGGACAGAACUCGUACGACUAAAGGACUCGACCUAGGAAAACGACUUGAUCGUGAGACUUGCGUGAGGAUGAUCCUGUAGAUAGGCAGGCCGAUUCUAAGGACGACUAACAGUCGAUUCGCGGACAGAACAUAACGGAACGACGGGUGAUUCCGUUUACUGUUAUCGAAUCCACGAACGACCCUAUGUCGAUCCUCAGUAAUCGUGUACUUUGAAAUAAGAAUCUAUCCUCCACAAUUUCAUGUAGUCAAGGACGUCCAUGCGCCGAGAUAUCUUGAACGUGGUUUGGCACGAGUCGGUCACGCAUGAAUCCUCAAAGCCACCCAUCAGUCUGAGUUGUUACCAAAAUGACAUUUGACGAAAUUGACAUGGCAAGAGAACUUAGGAUUGGACUUCGAAUUAUCGGGAAUGUCCGAGACGGACUUUGGAUGAAGCUACUUCAGACAGUCGACAGAGCCAGUUAAGCCUAGCAAUUGGAAAAAGGGAUUUUCGGAUCGAGGAAGCAAGCCCGUGAGGACGUGGGCCCGGCCAAGCCAAUGUGGGCCUUAGGCCCAAGUUGGGACAGCCACCAAAUGGGCUUAAGUCAAGCAAAUGAGCCCAUUGGGCCAAACCAACUAUUCAUCUUUUAAGCCCAUGGGCCAAUUCUUGGCCAUUUCAAGCCCAACCAAUUCCCAAGCCCAUUCCUAUUCAUGGCCAAGCCCAACCCUUAGGCCCAUCCACCAAUUUCAGCCCAAGGACAGAAUGGUAAUUGUGCAAGGUGAAAUGACCAAAUUGCCCCUAAAAGCUUGUGGAUAAGGGCAAAGGAAGAGAGAGAAGGUGAGGGGACUUGUAUGGGGACUUGAAGUGGCCAUUGAAUGGCGCACUAAUGAGGAGUGCUUUCAGCCCUCACUUCACUCUCUCUCUCCCCUCCUUCGUCCCCAAUUCGACGGAGCUCUCUCUCUCCUCGUUCUCCCUCUCCUCCAGUUUCUGCUCCAGCCGACCCUUCGGUGAAGAAUCAAGUCAAAAGUCGUCUUCCCGGAUGAAUCAUCCAACGAGCCACCUAUAACCGUGACCGGGAGAGAAAGACCGUUCCAACAAGAUCAAUUUCGUCCCGAACGGAGCCUCCUUCCGGCAUGGACGCCUCCGUGAAGGAACCCGUCGCCGGUCCGUCGGUCCGCCUGCAGCCUGCACUGUUUCGCGUUUUCGACCAUUUUUCUCCCAUUCCGGUCCUUCCUCCGCCCAUCCCAACCACCCUCAAGAUCCCCAAGACCCCCGGGAGCCGCCGGUUGCCGGCCAAAUCCCUCGCCAGAGCUCCGGCCAAGCCGUUCAACUCAGUUUCUCCUCCGGCAGGGCUGUUUUUCAGUGUUUUCAGUGGGAGUCCGAGCUGUGGUUGUUGCGUUGAGCUUGGGACCGCCUUGGAUCGCCGUGGUAGAGGUCCCAGAGCAUCGCCUCCGUCGUCGUCGCCGCCGCAUCGGUGUCUCCGGCCCGCUUAACGGGUGAGUUUAGCUCCUAAUCCUUCAAUUAGUGCCUAAACUUGCUUAGGGUUGGUUUAGUUAGAUUUAAUUCUAGUUUAAGUGAUUUAAUUAAGUUGUAUUAGCCCUAAGAUAGGUGGUUAGAUGGAUGGAUUAGAUUAGUCUAGCUUAAUCUUGCUUUAGUUGCUUAAUGUGGUUUAUGUGGUUAAUUAAGUAUGCUUGGCUUUAAUUAAUUGAUGGUUGCUUUAAUUAAUGUUUUUAAUGAUUUCUGAAUUUAAUUUAUAUUUUAUUAAAUUAUGGAUUUUUACUGUUCAUGCACACUAUUCACGAUUACUGUUCACACUGUUCACGAGUACUGUUCACAAAAACACUGUUCACCCGAGAAUGAAAAGUGUCUAAUUUCAUGUGUGUUUAAUCCUAUGAAGUGAUUGGAUGUGUUAUUGCAUAAACAUCUGCAUGAAUUGAGUGAUGAUUUGUGAAGUUGAGUGGUGAUUGUGAAAAUAUGGUAUUUAUUCUGAAAAUCCCGGGUGUCGGGCUUGACAUCGAAAAUGGAUUUUAAUGAUUAAUGAUUAUAUCAAACCGUGGGAUUUGAAAAGGAAAGGUAUUAGCUUUUCUUGUUUGAAAGGACGUGGACCCACACACGACUACUUUCUCAAAUGUUUUUAAUACGAAGGAAAGAGGCCAGGAUUACUAUUUUAAUCGGGGCAUUUGAGUGAAAUGCAAAGUGUCCUGGGCUGAUAUUGAAUUGUUGUGUGUUUGUUAAGAGGAAACCGUCCCGGGCUGUUGAGUUGGAAGUGCCCCUAUAUGGGAUGCCCACGCAAUGGAUGCCGGUCGCAGUAGAGGUUGGGCCAACUGGACCGAUGCUCCUUCGGGAAUGCCGUAGACGUAGUGACGAAGCCGUGCUCCAAGGGGGGAGACGAUGCUCCUUCGGGAAUGCCGUCGACGUAGUGACAAAGCCGUGCUCCAUGGGGGGAGACGAUGCCUGGCAUUAAUGUCAGUAGAUAGCGGAACUACGAGUAGGCUAUGCCAUUGAGUGGCAGUGAAUAACAAUUGGAACACAUGUUGGGUGUUGAAUGACGCACCGGAUUAUAGGACGGAAUUGUAUGGCACGGUAUGGGACAUGUCAUAAUGAUUCGGUCUUAUAAUCAGGAUCCCUGUGAUUAAUUGAGUGGAUAAGACGUUUCAAUUGUUGUAUGCAUUGAAUAUAUGCAUGAUGUUGUUGAACUGUGCUAAUGUGCAAGAAUGCAUGAGAAUCAUGGCAUCUGUGAUUUCGUUCAUGUAUGAGUUAAGCACAUUGUUUAUGGUACGCACGCAUGAAUCGAUAACAUGCAGGGUAUGGCAAUGGCCAGGUGAGAUCGCUUGUGAUGCGACUCAUAUGUAAUUGAUGAAAUGUAUCAUCUAUGCAUUGUGUGUAUCGUGCUGAAUUAUAACAUGCAAGGUAUGGCAUACCAGGUAAGGUUGUAUGCGAAUCGACUGUUGGUUGUUGCUUGUAGUGGGGUAGUUCUGGAUAGAUACCCUGAGUUGAGUUGGUGUACUAACCGGGACUUAGGGGUGGAACUCGCUGAGAUUUAUAUCUCACUGGUUAUUGAAUAACCAUUUUCAGGUCCCUAGUGUGAAGAGCCAGGAGCUUGAAGCAAAAGGGUCAGGAGCAUAGGUCGCUCAGUAGUUCUUUAUGACACAGACCUUCUGUAUAAGCUUGAAGUGUUUAUAAAGGUGUAUUUGAUUUGAAGUUGGUUGUCCUGCUUUUCUAUCCCAUGUUUGUCGUUGUCAGGGGAUUAGUUAAUUCGUUUCCACAUGUGCAAUAAAAUGAAAAUGGUCAGUGACGAGUCCUGGGAACGUCGCGAAAUUCUAUCGACCAGCGAGGGUUGUGCACGCGCUCGAGGUUCGGGGCGUGACAAAAGCACAAUAUAUUGAGAACCUUUUGGACAAUUUUUGCAUGAAUUCCUUUGCAAGAUUGGGUGAUUAAGUUUAAUAAGGAAUCGUGAAGACCAAACAAUGCAAUUGGGGACUAGAAAUACCGAGAGCGUUUGGCUGAUUUAAAUAUGGUUUCAAUGUGCAUUUUAUUGCUCGAUCAAUAGUAGAAUCAUGUGGUACCAUUCUCAUGGAAUCAGUCACACUAAUCGAAUCACCUAAAUUGGGUGUUCUAUACAUUCUUUUGUUUUGUUUAUUUUAUUAUUUGAUCAUCGAAGCCCAUUUGCCGUAACCAAUGGUUAACGUAGAACCAAUUUCUGGAACCAAGCUGUAUUAAAGUAACAUUUGUACUCUCAAACGUGAAAUGAAGCAAGCUGUUGUCUGGUCAAUGACGACCGCCGUGUUGUGCGCUCACUUUUUCUAAAGCCAGUUCUUUUUCUACACCACUUUGUCGGAAGAUAUGAUUCAGUGUGUCACGCACCAAGGAAAAUCAAGAUUUUCUAACGUGAAACAUGGGAGCGUGGGUCAUCAAGAGUCUGUCCUUUUUGUGAACGUGAACAUGAUAAUUUUUCUCCAAGUCCAGCUCAGUUGAGGUCACAAGACAACCAUGAUGAAUCAAUCAAUCUAAUCAAAUUCCGUUUGUUUCGUGGAAAAGAUAAUUACUUAUAUUGCUUAUAAAAAUAAAUGAGAGAAAAAAAUUCAUAGACAUUAACUAUAGUCAGUAAUCAAAACUUUUUUUACUAAUUAUUUCAAAUAAUACAAACGAUUAUUUUUAAUAAAAUAUUUUCAAAUUAUUGAUUCUCCAUGGAACAAACGGAGCGUAGGAUCAAAUCUUUCUUAUGCUGUUAAUAUGUGCAUAUCAACAAAAAGGGUCCACGUUGAUUAUUCAAAAUGCAUUUUGUUUAAAGGAUUUUGCCUUGAAGCUUGUUUUGGUUUGGCAUCUUGAAAAGUAAAUUGUGAAUUGCUUGACUAGCCCGACUAUUGCUCUCUUUGUUUAUGAUAAUGAAUUUGACAAAACUUUCGGGCCCCUAGGAAAAAGAAAAGAAAAAACAAAAGAAGCGUACUUUAUCGGACAAGAACGUUAUCUAAUUAUGUGCCAUGAAUUUUUGUUAAGAGAGACGAAUCAACAAACUUUGUUUCACUUAUCUAUAAAUUUUACUCGUAAAGAUGUGUUAUAGUGUAGAUUAAUUAGUCAACUUUCAAAUAAUAUAAGUGAUCAUUUUCAGAAAAUAUUUUUUUCAAAUCAUUCAUUUUUCGUAAAAUAAACGAAAGUUAAGAAAAAAUUAUAACAAUUUGAUUGUGAACUUCAUACAUCGAUACAUGUAAUGUCUAACCUUAAUUUCAUUUCGACCAAAAAGAGACCGUAAUUUCAUCAAUUAUCCUGGUUUCUUGUCAUGAUUUAUUUUUUUGAAUGAUUAUUUUCGGGUUAUGGUGUUUUGUACACUAAGAUGAAAUGCGUGUGGAUAAUAAAAUACUGAUUUUGUAAUUUCAUGGGUUUGCCUUUUGUUCCUAGCAGAACAGGGGAAAAACGUCGAACAUGAGUCGUUCCAAUCGACCUUUAAGCGAGAAAGGAGUCAUUUUGGUCGUUUUCUGUAGUUUCAAUCGCGAGAAACAUCCCUCCUGCUUUGAGUUUUUUGUAGUUUCAAUCUUGCACAUUACCGAACCAGCGAUGACUGUUAUUAGAAUACCUCAAACUAUACUACUCAAAUCAACGACAUAGACAUAACGAAAUCUGAUGCGCUUUUUGCCUUUCCCAAAUCUAAUCCAUUUCUAUAUACAAAUAACAAUUGCGAACACGUGGCCCUACGUCAAAGUGCAUGGAAUUGUGGAAGUAGGGUUUGUCCUCUCAAUUCCUAUUAAUAUUGAGAGCCUCUACUAGCGUGAUGACCAUCCUCUGCCAUAUUCUUAUUUAUAAAUGGUUGAAGGCCAUCCUCGCUGUUGUGGCCACUGAACUCACUUGUGGCUUGUUCUUGGGUUUCCAGGGCCAUCAUCCCGAAUUUCUUUAAACCCUCCUGGUCUUCGCUGGUGUCAUGAUCUGAGCAUUGACAACGACUAGAUACUCUGGUAGGUCCUAGCAUAAUUCCCUCAUUUAAAUCAUUCAGAGAAAGGUUUCCUUCCAAUGCUCGAACUACCUGU
rnacentral:lncRNA from 1 species